rnacentral:lncRNA from 1 species
UUAUCAUCAUUCGUUGGUCCGACGAAUAAGCAUAAGAACGAUAAUAAGAACAAAUAAAGGAAAAAGAAAUAUCAAUGCAUUCAUAAACAUCAAAUCUGUCACAUUCAGAAUCAGGGUCACCCCCUAGCAAUGGGGGUUUAGCUACUCAUAAUCGAAAUAAAAACAAAGAUUACAUUGUUGUCAUUACAGAAUUUCGUGAGGAAUCAAUCUCAUCGCCGGAAAACUCUUGAACAUGUGAAUCCUUUGAUAAUCGUAGAGUCUCCAGCUCUCAAACGCGUCUUUUUCUCUCCAAAUCGUCCAACCCUUGGAAAAUCGUGUUCUGCCCUCUAAAUAGCUAUUCAGUUGGACUUUUCCUGAUUUUUGCUUCAUACGCGUAUUGCCCAGUCCCAUACGCGUAUUGCACGUAAUACAGCCUCUGAUACGCGUAUUGCCAGGCUGGUACGGUAUUGCACGUAAGACAGCCUGAUACGCGUAUUGCCCAGACGUGGUACGCGUAUUGCCCAGACUGGUACGCGUAUGCCCAGACUGGUAGCGUAUCACCAGAAGCUUGUAUUUUGGCUGAAUUUUCCAUCCCUCUGGUCAUUUACGUAUGCUACGCGUACUGGAAGGCCCAUACGCGUAUCAUGUAAGGCCAUUACGCGUAUGGACAGCAGGUUUCCAGAAAAAUGAUUUUUUCUUCCGUUUUCUUGCUCGGGCUCAAUUUCUCAUCUGACGUUUGAUUCCUGAGCUUCAAACAGUUUUUUACCUGCAACAUACCCAAAAGUGUAAAAUAUCCUAGAAACUCAUAAGUAACAACACAUUAUAUUAUAGAAUUGAGCUUAUAUCUAACUAAAAAUGCUUCAGUUUACACAGUUUACCUGACUUUAUUACGGUUAAAUAGUGGAAUGUCUAGCAUAAAUGGUGACUGAUCACAACCCCAAACUUAGCUUGUUGCUUGUCCUCAAGUAACAUUUUAUUACCAUCAAAGAUCAUGUCACCCCAAACUUACUGUAAACAGUUCUUACACAAUACUGCUGAAAUCUUUCGCACUGGACCUCUUGAUGUUUUCAGGUUUUCUGAUCUCUCACAUAGCCAACGAGCUAGAAACUCUUUCCUCAGAGAUAUGACUUUACCUGUCAGCUUAUAUCAACUCUCACAAGUCUCUCUGGGUUAAAGUAUUAUCACUCUCAAAUCACAUAUGCAAUAUCAAAUCAGAAGUUUGAAUAAUCUUCAUCUAUCAACAUGUACAAUCACACACACUUUUUGAGGUCUUUUAGGGUUGUAACGGGGUUUUGGUUUAGGUAGGCUAUGAAAUUUGAACAAAGGUUUUUGGUUCAGAGUACAUGAAUCAUUCUCUCACUACGUUUCUUUCUAUUAUUCUGUAGGGUUAUGCAAUUCCUCUUUUCUUUAUCUAUAGUGAAUGUAGCAUUUUUCAAAAUUGUUCUUUUAUUGUUUUUCGCUUUUCUCUUUCUUUCUUUUCAUGUUGUUAUGUUUUUCUCUUCUUUUUUCCUCUCUUUUUUUUUCUUUCUUUUUUUUUCUUUUAUACGACAUUCACUUACUAUUCACGUACUGCAAGUUACCCAAACUUAAAGGUGCUAUUCCAACAGCAACCCAAACUUAGAUGAAACGUAGAGAUGAAAUCAAUUCUCACAUACUCUGAACAGGGUAGGAUAGGUACAAGGUCAUGGCUUUAGAAAAAAAAAGCGGUAUAUCAGAAAUAAAUGAUAACAGGCUCAACGGGUAAAACAAUGGAUAUUAAUAAUAAUGGGAUGGCUAAAAGGUCUAAGUGAUAACAAAAACAUGCCUCAGUGUGUGUAUCGUACAGUAAUAAUAACAAAAGACAUACGCAAACCAAGAUUGAUAAAGACAUACCUGAUAUCUCUCAUAUGAUGAUAGUGUUUGGCUUUUUCUGAUCUCACCAGGACGGGUUAAGCUGACUUGUUCUAUCAUACCUUUGAGUUCAAGCUCAUGCUCGUGGUUCUGUGUUAUCUUAACAGUGCGUCCAAUCAUAAACAACAGUAUCUACAGUCAGGGGACUGAAAGAGAGACGCCCAAGUAGUUGGUGUAAAGAUCAAGAAAACAAUAGCCAGACAUAGUCACGUAUCUAACGAAAUAAACAGGAAAAUGGAGUAAACCAAAUCAAAUUCAUUAGAAUAAGCCAACCCAUAAUAGGUGAUUACAUCAAAGCAAAAGAAAAUAAAACUGAAUAAACAAAAAUAAAAUACACAAGAAAUUUCAACCUCCUUGGGUUGCCUCCCAGCAGCGCUUCGUUUAACGUCGCAUGGCUCGACGGGACACCCUCUAACCGGGAUUAUAUGGUUUCACCUCUGACAUUAACCCUGAAGGUGUCACCCUUCUUCCAUUUAAACACCAAUACCACUUUUAUGUUCUUUCAGUACUUUUCAUCUUCUAAUCUGGUGAAGCUCUCAGAUCCUCCACCUGCGUGGUUUGGACUUCCUCCAAGGGUUUGUGUAUCCAGCAUAGCAAGCACUUUUUUCUUUUUCAUCAUCCUCUCCUCAAUCUCUCUGACCGCCAGAUAAGAACUCUUCCUAACGGUAAUGGAAACUUACUUGAAUUGUGCUAGUUACAAUUUGAUCAAUCCUUCCACGGAGUGUUUUGUACACAUAUUCUCUUUAUGUUUCAUAGUAUCUCGGACAUCAUUUCUGAGCUCUUCAUCAUACACUUUUAGGGUCAUGGUACCUUCCUCCAUAUCUAUAUUGCAUCUACCUGUUUCUAAGAAAGGUCUGCCAGAUCAGAGGUAUCUCUCAUCUUCUGGCAUUUCCAAAAUUAACAAUCAACAGGAAAAAAAUUUAUCAACUUUGACCAGACAUCCUCAACUACCCAAAAGGUCUCUUCACUGAGUGGUCAGGCAAAUUGAAGUGUCAUUCUGGUAUCUUGAACAUUUCCAAUUCCUAGCUCCUGUAAAUAGACAAAGGCAUAAGGCUAACACUAGCCCAAAUCAAUCAGCGCCUUUAAAAGACCUAUCUCCAAUGGUACACGGGAUGGUCCACAGAACCUCUAUCUGGCUUCUUUACUGAAUCUUCUACCCUGCAAAAUAGCACUACAAGUUUCAGUUAGUAUACAGGGUCAGUGUCAGUGGUGCGCUUUUUGGAGAUGAUAUCUUUCAUGAAUUUCGCAUAGAUAGGCAUCUGCUCGAGUGCCUCAGAGAAUGGAAUAUUGAUUUCUAAUUUCUUGAAUAACUCCAUGAUUUUCUGAAAAUUUUCUCAUCUUGCUUCUUUUUGUUUCUUUGUGGGAAUGGAAGCUAAUGAUGGGUUUUUGGUUCAGGGAGCUUUUCUUGUACCACCGGCGGUAUUACAAUUUUCCUCGGGUGGUGUCUUGUUUUUCUAAGAUUUCCAGUCCACUUCAAGCAACUGAUCUUCUCUCUUCCUUAUUCUUACGAUCUUCAAAAGAUCUUCCGCUUCUUGUUGUUACCGCACUCACAUUAUGGUGCUCCGGAUUUGUCACUGUUGCACUAGGUAAUGCGCCCGGUGUUUGAAAAUUUGUUAUUUGUUGUGCAUCUGACCCAAUUGAAUUUCCAGAUUUUAAUGGAUGCAUUGGUGCUCUUCUGAUUAUUCCUGGUCUCCUCCUGAAUUGCAUAUUCUGAGUUGCCAUCUUCUCUAUGCAAUCUCAAUCCGCUUUCUUCGGUACCUGUUGCUGAUAAGGUGCUGUUGGUAGGUGGUUGUUGUUGUGGAGGUCCUUGUUCUGAAUAUUACUUGCUGAUCUUUCCAAGAGAAAUUAGGAUGAUUUUUCCACCCGGAUUAUAUGUUUUGAGUAGGGAUUAUUUUGCCUCAGGUAAUUUAUAGCUUGCACUUGUUCUGCGGUUGCAACACAAUGCAUGGUAAAGUGUGGUCCACUACAAAUUUCACAAAUCAUGGUCGGAACGGCUGAACUGAGCACAGUCUGGGUACCUAAAUUCAUAGCUUUCAAUCUUCUUUCAACCUCAGCUGCAAUCUGGUCUUCCAUUUUCACUACCUGAUUUGCUAAUUUCAAGUCAAUUUUUCCCUCCGGCUGAUUUACAGUACGGUCAUAUAAUUCCAAAUGCUCAUUUGCUGCAAUAGCUUCGAUGAUUUUUUUGAUACCGGUUGCUGUAGAAAAAUUAGACGAGCCACCGCAGCUGUUCAAUGAGCUGCUUAGUUCUCAUCUUCAGCCCGUUUACAAAAUUCUGCAUUUGUUCAGUUUCAUCCAGAUUAUGUGUAGGACAUGCAACUAACAUCUCUUGAAUCUUUUGUAUGCAUCUCCGAGUGUCUCUCCUUCUUUCUGUUUAAAAUUCACAAUGUCAUACCUCUUACGGAUAUACACAGAAGCAGGAAAAUACUCGUUCAAAAUGUUGUUUCCAUUUGUUGCCAAGUAGUAAUGCUUCCUGCGAGUAGGGAAUAUAACAUUCCUCAACGUCUCAGAUAAGUGAUGGGAACUGACAAUCUCUUGCCUCUUCAGAAUGCCCAUCAAUUUUUAAUGAUGUAGUCAUAGUCAGAAAUCUCUGCAGAUGCUUGUUUGCAUCCUCAUUGAUCUUCCUGCAAAGGGUUGCUUCUAACUGACGAUAGUUGAGGGGUGUAACUGGAAGUGAGCAAUAUUAACAGUUUGGUUAACAAUGGUCACCGCACUGCUGGGUUAUUCUGUCUGCCAUAGUCACCUAAAAGUCUUCCGCUGGAGGUGGGUCUGCAGCCAUGGUUUCAGUGUCUGGAUGUGAAGCUGUGUCUGACUCAGUUUUUUCGGAGUGAACAGAAACUGGUGUGACAGUGUGGCUGGUUCUUCGGUGUCAGAGUUUUCCAGUUUUUUCCUCUAGCUUCUCUAAGCUUUGCGCGCAAUGUCCUCUCUGGUUUGCGUCAAAAUGAAAUAUUAGCUGAGCUCUACCUCGCAUACACAGAUUAAGACAGAAAUUAGUUAUAAUAACAAUAAAAUAAAAUUAAACAAUAAAUAAAAUUUUGGAUGCAGAGCAACAAAUUCUAAUUGAGAAUAAAUUAAUAACUCUACUAUCUUUGGCAGUCCCGGCACCGGCGCCAAAAACUUGAUGGGAAAUAGCAAGUGUACUAUUUUUUUCACUGUAGUAAUAAAAGGGAAACUCCCGUUUGUCGAUCUCAAAGACUGCUUGACGAUACAGAGUUAUAGAUUGUUUCAAUUAGACAAAAGCCUUUGGUUUUUGUGUGUGAGUAAUAUAUACCAAUUUCAAAGAAUAAAAUAAGUAAAAAGGUUGAACGAGAUACAAAUGAGAGAGAUUGCGUAGGGUUCGGUGAAUGAAACUUCCUGUAACAGAUUAAUUUAUGAAGGCUUAGCAAUUUCCUGUCCAAUUAAUUCCGGUCCAAGGGAUCUAUUCCUAAGUCCUUAGUGAAAAGACUUUGAUUAUGUAACUAAUUACUAUGUCCAUAAUAAUCAAGUUCAACUCAAGCAUUUCGAAUAUCAAGAAUUCCGGUCAGAUAGAAAAUCCCUAGUCCUAGGUUAUUUUUACUAUCUAAAGUUCUUAUCCAGAUCAAUGAAUAAUCGUUGUCCAGCUUAAACUAUUCAUAUUAAUCAUCAUUCGUUGGUCCGACGAAUAAAGCAUAAAGGAGUAAUAAGAACAAAUAAAGGAAAAGAAGAAAUAAUCCAUGCAUUCAUAAACAUCAAAUCUGUCACAUUCAGAUCAGGGUCACCCCCUAGCAAUGGGGGUUUAGCUACUCAUAAUCGAAAUAAAAACAAAGAUUAACAUUGUUGUCAUUACAGAAUUUCGUGAGGAAUCAAUCUUCAAUCGUCGGAAAACUCUUGAACAUGUGUAAUCCUUUGAUAAUCGUAGAGUCUCCAGCUCUCAAAACGCGUCUUUUUCUCUCCAAAUCGUCCAACCCUUGGAAAAUCGUGUUCUGCCCUCUAAAUAGCUAUUCAGUUGGACUUUUCCUGAUUUUUGGCUUCAUACGCGUAUUGCCCAGUCCAUACGCGUAUUGCACGUAAUACAGCCUCUGAUACGCGUAUUGCCAGGCUGGUACGCGUAUUGCACGUAAGACAGCCUCUGAUACGCGUAUUGCCCAGACUGGUACGCGUAUUGCCCAGACUGGUACGCGUAUUGCCCAGACUGGUACGCGUAUCACCAGAAGCUUGUAUUUUGGAUGAUUUUCCAUCCCUUUGGUCAUACGUAUGCUACGCGUCUGGGAAGGCCCAUACGCGUAUCAUGUAAGGCCAUACGCGUAUGGACAGCAGGUUCUCCAGAAAAAUGAUGUUUUUCUUCCGUUUUCUUGCUCGGGCUCAAUUUCUCAUCUGACGUUUGAUUCCCUGAGCUUCCAAACUAGUUUUUUACCUGCUAACAUACCCAAAAGUGUAAAAUAUCCUCAAGAAACUCAUAAGUAACCACACACUUUAUAUUAUAGAAUUGAGCUUAUAUCUAACUAAAAAUGCUUCAGUUUACACAGUUUACCUGACUUAUUUACGGUUAAAUAGUGGAAUGUCUAGCAUAAAUGGUGACUGAUCACACCCCUCAACAGAAUGGUGUGGUUGAGCCCAAGAAUAUGAUCAUUCAAGAAUGUGUCAGGGUCAUGCUUCAUGCUAAGAAACUACCAUAUCAUUUUUGGGCUGAAGCCAUGAACAUUGCCUGCUAUAUCCUUAAUAAAGUGAUUAUCAAAUUUGGCACAUCAGCUACAUUGUAUGCACUAUGGAAAGGAAGAAAGCCAACUGUGAAAUAUUUCCAUGUACUUGGAAGUAGAUGUUAUAUUCUGGAAGACCUUGAGCAAAGGAGAAAAAUGGAUCCUAAAAGUGAUGAGGGAAUCUUUCUGGGGUACUUUACAAACAACAGAGCAGACGGAGUUUUCAACUCCAGAACCAAGGUAAUGAUGGAAUCCAUAAACAUUGUUGUGGAUGACUCAACUAACGAAGUUGAUGUCACAGAUGAUGUUGAAACAUCAAUGAGUGAUUUUUAUGAAGAUGGUGCAUACUCAAGUGCUAAUACUGAGCCUACAGAGACCGAUUCAACUAACAAAGGGCCUUCCAUCAGAAUUCUGAAAGAUCAUCCUAAAGAGCUUAUUAUAGGAAAUCUAAAUGAAGGGAUAAUUACCAGAUCAAGGGAAGUUAUGUCAAAUGCCUGCUUUGUAUCUAAAUUUGAACCUAAGAAUAUCUAGGAGGCAUUGACUGAUGAGUUCUGGAUUAAUGCUAUGUAAGACGAACUUGGCCAAUUCAAAAGAAAUGAGGUGUGGGAUUUGGUUCCAAGACUUGAAGCAACAAAUGUUAUUUGCAUUAGAUGGGUGUAUAAGAACAAGUAUGAUGAACAAAGGGUUAUUACUAGAAAUAAAGCCAGACUUGUUGCUCAAGGAUACACCCAAAUGGAAGGAGUGGACUUUAAUGAAACCUUUGCUCCAGUGGAUCUCUUGGAGUCUAUCAGAUUGUUACAUGGAAUGACAUACCUUUUAAAGUUCAAGUUGUUCCAAAUAAAUGUUAAAAGUUCCUUUCUAAAUGGUUAUUUAAAUGAAGAUGUGUAUGUUGAAUAACCAAAAGGGUUUGUUGAUCCUACUUUCCCAAAUCAUGUGUUCAAAUUAAAUAAGACAUUGCAUGGUUUAAAACAAGCUCCAGGAGCUUGGUAUGAAAGGUUGACUGAGUUUCUCAUCAAACAUGGAUAUAGAAAGGGUGGAAUUGAUAAUACUCUUUUUGUCAAAGAGAAGGAUGGAAAACUUAUGAUAAAUCAGAUCUAUAUGGAUGAUAUUGUGUUUGGAGGGAUGUCAGAUGAGAUGGUCCAACAUUUUGUCAAGCAAAUGCCAUCUGAGUUUGAAAUGAGUUUGGUAGGUGAACUAACGUACUUUCUUGGACUCCAAGUCAAACAGAUGGAAGACUCCAUUUUUCUAUGUUAAAGAAAAUAUGCAAAGAGUAUUGUGAAGAAAUUUGGAUUGGAGAUUGCUAGUCACAAAAGAACUUCUGCACCUACUCACUUGAAGUUAUCUAAAGAUGAAAAGGGCAUAAGUGUUGACCUGAGUUUAUAUAGAAGCAUGAUUGGUAGCCUUUUAUACCUUACAGUAAGCAGACCAGAUAUAACUUUUGCUGUUGGAGUUUGUGCUAGAUAUCAACCAGAACCCAAAGUGAGUCACAUCAAUCAAGUAAAAAGGAUUCUAAAGUAUGUGAAUGGAACAAGUGAUUAUGAAAUGUUGUACUCUAAUGAUUCAAAUUCCAUGUUAAUGGGGUAUUGUGAUGUUGAUUGGGCUGGUUGUGUUGAUGAUAGGAAGAGUACCUCUGGAGGAUGUUUCUUUUUGGGAAACAACUUGAUUUCAUUGUUCAGCAAGAAACAAAAUUGUGUAUCCCUAUCUACUACUAAAGCUGAGUACAUGGCAACAGGAACCAGCUGCUCUCAAUUAAUAUGGAUGAAACAAAUGUUAACUGAAUACAAUGUCAGACACGAUGUCAUGACAUUAUUUUGUGACAACUUGAGUGCUAUAAAUAUCUCCAAAAAUCCUAUUCAGCACAGUAGGACUAAACACAUUGACAUCAUGCAUCAUUUUAUUAGAGAACUUGUUGAAGAUAAAGUCAUAAUAGUUGAGCAUGUUAGCACAGAGAAUCAACUUACAAACAUUUUUACCAAAGCCUUGGAUUCAGUUCAAUUUGAAAAAUUAAGAGGAAAACUUGGGAUUUGUGUUAAUGAGCAUUUAUAGCAAUUACAACUAUUUAAGUGUGUCAGACAAGAGUUUAACUCUCAUCAUUACACUAGACACGCUUACCUAAACCCUUUACCUCAUUGUGUAUCCUUUUGGACAAAAAUACGCUACCCAUUCCAUUCAAACGCUUCAUUUCUCUCUAGACAUCUGUGCUCACCCUCUCUCAAGAGUCUCUCCCAAUUCCAUCUGCAUCAUGUGUUACCUAAAAUGUCGAAACAAUCUUCACCCACGGACAUGCAUGUCCCAACUGAAACCAAUGGAUCAUCUUUCCCAAUUGUUAGGGAAAAUGAACCAUUCCAAAUGAUAAACCUGACGGAUUUGGUCUUGGAUGUUGCUCCCUUAUCCACGAUUCAUCCACCCCCUCAGAAGAAAGCUACGCCUUCUGUGUCAAAAAAUGUCAAGACUUCUGAUAAGUCUUCUGAACCUAUAAUCCCUAGUAAAGAUAAAACUGUUGUUGAAGAAGAGUCCAGGUCUAAAGGGUCUGAGAUAAGAAAACCUAAUAUGCAUGUCGACGACCUUGAGAAUCCAAUGGAAGCGGAAAUGAGUGCCAUUGAUAAGGAACUUAGGAAGUUUGUUACAUAUGUUUUAAAGAAGGAGUAAGAAGAAGGCUGAUAAGUGUGUCCAUGAGCAUUCUGCUCAUGAGAGAAGAAGUAAACAGAAAGUUGAUCAUGUUGUCAAUGUUGAUGAACUAACUUCUGAUGAAGAACCCCUUACCAAUAUUGUAACUCUUGGAAUAGCCAAGAGACUGCAGAGACGUAAAGGAAAGACAAUGGUGUUUGAAGACUCUCCCUCCAGGGAAAUGAAAAGAAAAUCUGGUGGUUUGAAAAGAACUCCAUAGGAAAAUCUCCUGUUGGUCCUACUAGAUCAUGGAGUAAAGUUGUUACCCCUACUAGAAAGAGGAAAGUUGUCUCUUCUAGUGAUUCUGAGUUUGAUGUCGAAAAGGAUGUCUAGGAUAUCACGCCUGUAAACAGAUAUGCUAACAAGAAGCCUCAUGCUGCUGUGCACAAGGCUCCACUAGACAGUGUUUCUUUACAUUAUGUGAAGAAUGCUGAAAGGUGGAAGUAUGUUAUUCAAAGGAGGGUAUAUAUGGAGAGGGAAUGAGGUAAGGAUGCUCUAAAGUUUAAGGAGGUUGUAGAACUUAUAGAAGUUUCUGGGUUGAUGAAGAAUGUCACAAAAUAUGGGCCUUGCUAUGAAAGCUUAGUCAAGGAGUUUGUGGUGACUAUCACUGAUGGGUGUGAUGAUGUGAAAAGUGUUGACUAUGGGAAGGUGUAUGUUAGAGGAAAUGUCGUGACAUUUUCUCCAGCUGUGAUCAACAAACUUCUCGAAAGAAUAGAAGAACCUCAGGCUAAGAUAGAGGUUACAGAUGACCAGGUGUGCAAGGAGAUAACUGCUAAGCAGGUUAGACACUAGCCAAACAAAGAGAAGUUGUUUGCUGGAAAGUUGAGUGUCAAAUAUGCCAUCCUUCAUAGGAUUGGGACUGCCAACUGGGUGUCUACUAAUCACACCUCAACCAUAUCUACUGGUCUUGGGAAAUUUAUUUAUGUUGUUGGAACAAGAAGAACAUUUGACUUUGGAAAAUGCAUCUUUGAACAAGUUUUAAAACAAGCCUUCUCUACUGCUAUAAAAAUGCCCAUCUGCUUUCCAUCCCUCAUAUGUGGAAUCAUCCUAAACCAACAUCUGGGUAUUAUGCUGCCCAUUGAUAGUGUGAAGAAAAGGGAUUCUCCCUUAUCACUCCACUACAAUCUCUUUGCUGGAACACAUGUCCCAGAUAUUGUCAUGACAUCUUCUUUGCUGGCCAUGCCACCUCCAAGAAGAGUGUUAUUGAUCAGCUGAAGGAAACUUGUAAAGAGCUAGAGGAUUCCAUCAGAUCUAGCACUACAACAAAGAUCAAACUUGAGACAUUGAUGAAGUCUAUGAUGGAAGAAGAGAAGAAGGAAGUUGUACAGGGUGGUGAUGGCAAUGAAGGAACUGAUGAUAAGGACUAUGCUGGUGAGGAAGAUGAUGAUGAAGAGAAAGAAGAUGAAGGAGAAGAGUAUGCAACAUCUGACUCAGAUAGUCAGGAAGAUAUCUGAUUUCAGUCUUGUUUUGUUAUGUAUUUGGUUAUGUUUUAUGGUCCGUGACCAGGAUAUUUUGCACCCUUAGGUGCCCCCUUGUGUGUGAUUAUUAACUUUAUGAAUGUGGUUGUAUCUGGUUUUGGUUAGAUGCUUACCAUUGUCAUAUUAUGGAUAAAAAAGGGAGUAUUGUUCUGUGUUCUAACCACUAACCACUAACCUCAAUAUUGUUUGGCUGUGCUUAAGGAGGAAGGAGUUCCAGAUCUGGAACUUUCUGGGAUGCUGUGUUGUGAUGUCAAACUUAAUGUUCUGACAUCAACUUGACUAAGGAAGUGUUUUGAGUGAAGUUUUCUUUCUGCUGCAUACACCUCUGAUGUGUGUUAAACAUGUCUUAUUUGCUAUGGAUGAUCCCUUGAGGGGGAGUCCUGGUUGUAACGUAUCAAACUGCUUUCAGGAUUAUCGACUAACCCCACAAACCAACACGGGUCUUUUCAACAUGCUUUUUCCUCACUCACAUGCUUUCCGGGAAACUUCCCAGAAGGUCACCCAUCCAAAUACUACUCCAAGUCAAGCACGUUUAACUAUGGAGUUUUUAUUUGUUAGGCUACCAAAAAGAAGAUGCAUCUUGUUUUCGGUAUCCUAACCAAUAAGAACUCCAUAGUUAAGCGUGCUUGACUUGGAGUAGUAUUAUGAUAGGUGACCUUCAGGGAAGUUUCUCGGAAAGUGUGUAAGUGAGGUCAAAACAUGCUGAAGAGGCUCGUGUUGGUUUGUGGGGUCAUUCGGUAAUCCUGAAAGCAGUUUGAGGUGUUACAAAUGGUAUUAGAGCCAGACCUCUCCCAGUACGAUGUGGUUCGAGGACGAACCAAACGGAAGUUGGUGGGCAUGUAACACCCGAGGCCAGAGAGGACAAAUAGUGGUUACAUGUUAAACCCAAGGUCGGGAGAGUGGUUGUCAAUGCACAAGGCAUGACAAUGAGACACUCCUAGAAGCUUCUAAGGAAAGAUUGAAUUCACAUAAAAUGAGAGGGAUCCUGAGGCUGUGCAGGAAUGGGACUACAUGGUUGGAGGAUGACUUAUAAGGAUUAAUUGGUACUAUCUAUACCAACAAGAUGCAUCUUCUUUUCAGUAGCCUAACCAAUAAGAACCCCAUAGUUAAGCGUGCUUGACUUGGAGUAGUAUUGGGAUGGGUGACCUUCUGGAAAGUUUCUCGGAAAGUGUGUGAGUGAGGUCAAAAUAUGCUGAAAAGACUCGUGUUAGUUUGUGGGGUCAGUCGGUAAUCCUGAAAGCAGUUUGGGGUGUUACACUGGUCAUGUGAAACAGGGCGAGUACAAACUCUAUCUGGUGUGAUUGCUUGAUUACCUUUGUGAUGUGUGAUAUGUGUGUUUGAUAUUGAUAUGUUUUUCAAACCUAUGUAGCUCUGUUUGUAACUUGGACUGUGGUGCUGGUGUGCAAGGUGUAUUUGGUUGUUUUAGCCAAAAUUUGCCAUAGGGAGAGAUUGUUAAUUCUUUGUAUGUUUGAUUACCAAUAAUUUUGGUAAAACUAACUUAGCUGUAACAUGUUGAACAAGAUGUCCUAACAUGUGGAUUCGACAUCUUGUCUAAUACAGGUUUUACUCUUGGUAAGGUUUGAUUAUGUAACUGAUUACAGAAUAUUCUAGGAAUAUUAAGUAAUCCCCUGUGGCGUCCAUGAGUGAGGAAUAAGAGAUUCUAAUUGAUUUUAAACUUAUUCUGUUUUCUAAAUGUUGAGACAUUUUAGGAAACUUUUGAUUGGUAACCUAAUGUUGUGCAGCUGUUUCGCUUCGUGUACAAGGCCCAAAUCCAGUUCAUUCUAUGACUAUAUAUAGAAUGUCUCAAACCUAAUUGAAGGACGAAGAAAAGAAGAUAUAAGUGUGGUGUUAGGGUUUGAGUGUACGUGUUAUUUGUGAGCCUCUCUAAUAUCAUCUUGAUAUAUGAGUAAGACUAUGUUAAUUGAUUGUAAGGACUGUCAAGCACUCAUAAGCUUUUAAGCAUUGGGUGAUUGUGUGUCUGUGAAGUGUGACUUCAGAAUUUCUUGUAAUUGUUUGAAGUGUCAUUUUUGUGAUUGAAAGGGAAGUGAUAAAGGUCUCAUACCUAGGAGUGUCUUAGGUAGAAGUAAAGCACGAGUCAUGAUUAGGGUGUACUGUAAAUUGGAGAUAGUUUGCUCAAGGUCUACAAACUGAUACUAUUUAGUGGAUUUCCUCCCUGGCUUGGUAGCCCCCAGAUGUAGGUGUUGUUGUACACUGAACUGGGUUAACAACUCUGAGUGUUCUGUUAUUUUAUGUUCCCCUAUAUGUAAGUUUUCUUGUUAUUGUGAGUUGAUCAGAUAUCAGUGUCUCGACAUCUCUUAGGACAUCUGAUAUCUGCAUACCAGAAUUUCACAAAAAAUUAAGUGAGAUUAUAUAAAAAAACAAGACAAACAUGCAAAUAGAUCACAACAAAUUUGAACAAACUUAUAUCCUAAGUAGUAAGUAUCAAAUUGAAAAGAAAAAAAACUCAAGCAAUUUUAUAAGUGACGUAGUGAGGUGAAACCAACCUACACGGGCGCCUCGGUGAAUAAAGAAAGAGAAAUUCUCUUUUUUCUCUUGCUCUUCGCUUUUUUGGUUCUGACCUUCUUGUAAUUCCUCUUGUUUGCUUGUCUUUUAAAAAAAAUCAAUGUUGAUGAUAGAGACCUUAGGGUUUUGGUGUUGUUGUUCUUCAGUGUGAAAAACAACAAUUUUGGGAUACUGUAUUUGUAGAUUAUGGAUAGAAAAAAAUGUAUAAAACUUGUGCUAUUUAUAGAUAAAAAUUAGGUCAAAAAUUGAAUGAGAUUUGAAUAUUUUUUGAAUGAUUUCAUUUGACACUAUUUUAUCUAAUUCUUAAAGACUAAGCCAUUGAAUCUGGAUGGAUUCAUGGCUUUGUGAAUGAAUUGAAUAAAAAGUAAAUUUUGAUAAAAAAUAAUAUAAAAAAAGGAAUAAUAGAAAAGCUUUUAUUUUUUUAUUUUAUAUUGAUUAUCCUUGAUUUUUAGACUAAAAUACAUUUAAAAUCCAUAAUAUCAUAAUUAUUAAAAAUAAUUUAAUAAAAAAUAAAAAAUAAAAAAUUAAAAAAUAAAAAAGAUGUAAUUUUAAAUUAUGAAAAAUGUAAAUGAAUGUAAAAAACAUAAAACAGAGAGAAAACUCUAAAAGUGAGGAAAAUGGGAUUCAAACUCAAUACCUCUCCACCUUAUAACUCCUUACACUCGCUCUUCUUCCAAUUGUGUCAUUUCAUUUAUUCGAAAUCAAGUGGCACUAGAAAGCAUAUGAAGGAUGUGAAAAAUUUGGGGUACGACAGCUGCCCCUAUUUAAUUAACUUAAACCGGAAGGAUGAUGAUAAUUAGUCUUUAUCCUCUUGGGAGGAGGUGAUUAAACAUAUAGAGGGUCCCUAAUUUUGACCCUGUAGUUAAUAGAUCCUGGGAAUGAGCAAGGAUUGAAUAAUCCUUGAUGCUCUGUUGGUAUCCAAACCAACUCAUGAUGGAACCCUAGUGAGAUCUUUUUGAUUAAUUUCAGCCCAUCCGGGUGAAAUUGACAUAAAAUUUUUAUGAUCAUCCAAUCAUUGCUUGAUAGAACCCUAGUAGAGUCCCUUUGAUUAGUUUUUACCCAUCCGAGUGAAACUUGUGUAUGAUUCCUAUGAUCAUCCUAUUAUGUUACGAAAAUCGGACAGGACUCUAACGAUCCUCUGGUCAUUGUUUGAUAAAACCCUAGUAGAACCCCUUUGAUAAAUUUCAGCCCCUUUGGGUGAAACUUGCAUACGAUUCCUAUGAUCAUCCGAUCAUGUUAUGGAAAUUGGGAAGGACUCUAACGAUCCUCCGGUCGUUGCAAUUCUUAUGAUCAACCGAUCAUUUAGAAUCUUGGUAGGACUCUGACGAUCCUCCUGUCGUUAUAUGUUGGAACCCUGUAUAUAUAAUAGAACUUAUCUCAUGUACGAGAUAAGCUAUUAGGCUAGGGAUAUAAGAGGUGAAUAGCUGCUCAUUGGUUGAUAGUGAUCAUUCGAGGUGACCGAUCUACUGCAUAUGUUGAAUUUUCUAGGGAGAUCCUUUGUUUAAAGGUUCCAUAAUCGGCCACUUUCUGGGGAAGGCCAAUAAGUUUUCCUGACUUGGAGAAUUGUAUUGGUAUAGCUGGGGAUUUGACUUCCCGUAGCGGUAAAAAAUCUUAUAUUAUGUUAUGCAUGUUCAUGUGGAUGCAUGUUUUGAAUUGAUAUAUGUGUUUAUGUGUGAUGCUUUAUUUGGGCUAUCGCCCCUUUUAUGAUGUGUAUGAUGAAUAUGUGAAAUUAUAAGGAAUUGUGAGAACCGAGGUUUCUAUAACAUUCCGACUCUCCAACCCUUUGAGACUUUGAUAUGUUCAUGGACUGAGCCGUGAUGCUCUUGAUUAUAAGAAACUUCUGUGCUGGUUAGAUUGUGAUUGCUGAUUCGGGGAUCCCGCAUUUUAAGAUGUAAUGUUAGAAAGCUUAUGAUCCUUUUGACGUUUCAAAAUCAAAAUAAAAGAUGUUUUGAAAUUCUUUUUUAUUAUGCCCAAUGUUUUAAUGUAUUAUUCAAAAAUAAUUGUUAUUUUGUAAUCAAGCAGAAAAAAAUUGAAAAUAAGACUAAAAAAACAAUGUUAUUUAUUUGAAAAAUUUGACCUUCAAAUGGGGCGACAAUACACGAGGAAUAUAAUUCCUAUAAGGAGAGAUUACUAAAAAUUUGAAAAAAAGUAAAAAUGGAAAUGAAAACAGAUAUUUUUAUGUUCCUACUGAAUUCAACAUAUGCUAUUAUCCCUAUGUCUUUGAGGUCACGACACUUUUCUUUUAAAGACGACGAUUGAAUUGAUUGAUCCCAUAUGAAUUCCUGUUGUAGUAUAGCUCGAGUAUUAUUGUUGUAUGCCUUUGGGAUAUCCCUAAUUUUUACAUGGACUACUCUUUCGAGUCUUAGUUCACCUGGACGAUAUACCCUUUUUUUUCCUAAGCCUCCCUUUUGGGGUCUUGGACUUAUCGGGAUUUAUUUUUUAUACAAGUCCCUAAUUUUUGCCUGGAUUUCUCUUUCAAGUUUUCAAUACACCGGGACGCCCAAAUUUUUGCCUAAGUCACCCUCUCGGGUUUUCGAUUUAGCGGGCUUUUAUCCUUUUUUUCUAGGCAUAGUAUUUCUUGACUGCAUCGUAGUUCACAGGUCGUGGUAACUCUGCUCCAUCCAUGGUUCUGAGUAUUAAUGCUCCGCCAGAGAAGGCAUUUUGCACGACGUAUGGACCUUCAUAGUUUGGGGCCCAUUUGCCACGAGGGUCUUUGUGAAUGGGUAAGAUUUUUCUAAGCACUAGGUUUCCUUCUUCGAAUAGACGAGUACGAACUUUCUUGUCGAAUGCUUUCUUCAACCUCCAUUGAUAUAGCUAUCUGUUAUAAAUCACAACCAUGUGCUCACUUCUAUGAGGUUCAAUUGAUCGAAUCUUGUUUGUACCCAUUCCGCCUCUUCCAAUUUAGUCUCCAAUAGAACUCUUAGAGAGGGAAUCUUGACUUUAAUAGGAAGUACCGCUUUAGUUCCGUAUACCAAAGAAAAAGGAGUUGCUCCCGUCGAAGUGCGAACUGACGUUCUAUAGUCGUGUAGUGCGAAAGGUAGCAUCUUAUGCCAGUCUUUAUAGGUUUUCACCAUCUUCUGGAUAACGUUUUUGAUAUUCUUGUUAGCCGCUUCUACUAUGUCGUUCAACUUAGGCAUGUAGGAUGAUGAGUUAUAGUGUUCUAUUUAGAAACUGUCGCAUAACUCGUUCAUUACCUUGUUGUUCAGAUUCAAACCAUUAUCCGUGAUGAUUUUAUUAGGAAUGCCAUAACAAUAAAUGAUUUCCUUUUUGAUGAUCCAUGUAAUCACUUUCCUUGUCACAUUGGUGUAUGAAGCAACUUCUACCGACUUGGUAAAAUAAUCAAUGGCAACCAAGAUGAAUCAGUGUCCAUUCACAUCUUUUGGUUUGAUCAUCCCGAUUAUAUCAAUACCCCACAUGGAGAAAGGCUAUGGAAUGGUCAAAACAUUCAAGUGAGUAGGUGGCACAUGCACUUUAUCCGCAUAGAUUUGGCACUUGUGAUACUUCUUGACGUAUUUGAAACAAUCAGACUCCAUAGUCAACCAAUAGUACCCCUCUCUAAGAAUUUUCUUAGCCAUGGUGUGUCCAUUGGUGUGAGUGCCAAAGGAUCCCUUGUGAAUCUCUUUGAUAAGCAUGCCCAUUUUGUAUCCAUCUAGCCAUCUGAGUAAGACCAUGCCGUGGUUUCAUUUAAAGAGCACAUCACCAUUGAGGAAGAAUUAAGAUGCCAAUGUUCUAAGCAUUUUCCUAUCUUGGCUUGAAGGGUUUGCAGGAUACUCAUAUUUCUAUAAGAACAAUUUAAUGUCGUAAUACCAAGGUUUAUUAUAUGCUUCCGCUUCCACUACUACACAAUAUUCUGGCUCAUCCAAAUGUUGAAUCCUUAUAGAAGGUGCUUCAUUGUACCAUUUGACUUUGAACAUGGAUGAUAAAGUAUCCAAGGCUUCUGCUAGUCGGUUCUCUUCUCAAGGGAUGUAAUGGAAAGUAAUCUCAUAAAAGUAGGUGAUCAUCUUUCAGACAUGGGCCCGAUACUUGAUUAACUUAGCAUUAUAUGUUCCCAAUUCUCCCUUGAUUUCAUUGAUAAUGAGAGCAGAAUCUCCAUAUUCUAAGAUCUUGAUCCUUCAAUCGAUAGCUUCGUUGAGUCCUAGGAUGCAUGCCUUAUACUCUGCCAUGUUGUUGGUGCAGGUGAAACAUAACCUAGUUGUAAACGAAAUGUGAUAACCCGUUGGAGAAGUUAUGAUAGCCUCGAUCCCAUGUUCUUCUACAUUUAAGGCAUCGUAAAAUAUGAGCUUCCAUUGAGAUGCUGGGUUGGGUCCUUCGUCGGGCCUUGGAGUCUCACAAUCCCUUAUUACCAUAACAUCUUCAUCGAGGAAGUCAAACUGUAUAAGUUAAUAAUCUUCCAUUGGAUGGUGAAAGAGAUAAUAUGCUAACACGCUUGCUUUGAUGGCCUUUUGCGUGACAUGUUGGAUGUCAUACUCGGUCAAUAACAUCUACAACCGUGCUACUCUUCCCGUUAAUGUUGGCUUUUCAAAAAUAUAUUUAAUAGGGUCCAUCCUAGAUAUUAGCAAGGUAGUAUGACAUACCAUGUAUUGCCUUAGACGUCUAGCAACCCAAACUAAAGAGCAACAAGUUUUCUCCAAGAGGGAAUGUCUAGAUUCACAAUCAAUGAAUUUCUUGCUUAGGUAGUAGAUUGCAUGCUCUUUUCUUUCGGUCUCAUCUUGUUUCCCCAGUACACAUCCCAUAGAACCGUCAAGUACUAUUAUGUACAUUAUAAGUGGUCUUCCUGGAACUGGUGGUAUAAAGAUAGGUGGUUCUUAUAAAUAUUCCUUGAUUUUGUUGAAAGCUCUAUGACAACCUUCAUUCCACUCAAUGGCUUGAUCUUUCCUGAGAAACUUAAAGAUUGGUUCACAGGAGGCUGUGAGAUGCGAAAUAAACCUAGCAAUGUUGUUUAAUCUUCCCAAGAAUCCUCAAACCUCUUUUUUUGUCCUCGGAGCUGGGAUAUCUUGGAUGGCCCUAAAUUUGCCAGGAUCAAUUUCGAUUCCCCUCUGGAUGACUAUAAACCCCAAUAAUUUCCCUGAUCCGACUCCAAAAGUGCACUUUGCAGGAUUCAAACGUAACUUGAACUUCCUUAUAUGAUCAAACAAUUUCAGGAAAUUGACUAUAUGAUCUUCUCCAGCCUGUGACUUUGCAAUCAUAUCAUCAAUGUAGACCUUUAUCUUCUUGUGGAUCAUAUCAUGGAAUAAUGUCACCAUUGACCUCUGGUACAUUUCCCCAACAUUCUUUAGUCCGGAAGGCAUUACCUUGAAGUAGAAGGAUCCCCAAGGAGUGAUAAAGAUGGUUUUCUCCAUGUCGGUGGGAGACAUCUUUAUCUGAUUAUAACCAGAGAAUCCAUCCAUAAACGAAAAGACCAAGAAUUGAGAGGUAUUGUCUACCAGUACAUCAAUGUGAGGUAGAGGGAAAUCGUCUUUAGGACUUGCCCUGUCCAGAUCUUUGUAUUCUACGCAAAUUCUAACUUUCCCAUAUUUAUUCAGAACCGACACGCUAUUAGAAACCCAUUAUGGAUACUUGGCAACGCCUAAGAAUCAUCCAUCGAGCUAUUUUCUGACCUCCUCUCUAAUCUUGAGAUACAUGUAUGGUCUAGUCCUUCUCAAUUUCUGUUUGACCGACGGACACUCUGGUUUGAGUGAUAGCUUGUGUACGAUAAUGUUCGUGUCUAGUUUUGGAAUGUCUUGAUACGAUGAAGCGAACACAUCUUCAUACUUAUUUAAAAGCCUGACCAAUCUUUCUUUGAUCUUAUCCUCUAAGGCGACGCCGACCUUAACCUCUUUCUUGUUUUCUCUGGUCCCCAUAUUGAUCACAACCACUGGUUCUCGAUGAGGUUGAAUUUCCUUGUUUUCUUGUUUCAACAGUUUGGCCAAUUCUUCAUGAAGCUUGCAAUCGUCCUCCUCGCCUUCUUCCGCUUGGUUAAUUGGAAUUCGAAGUCGUAAGGGAUUAUAACAAUAUUGUUUUCAAUCGGUUCAUUUAUUAUUCUGCAUGAGGAAGGUUUAUUUUAUUAUUAUUCUUUUUAAUGACGUGUUGAGAAUGAAAAUGUAUGGAAGAUUUAUUGCCAUAUUUGGAAAAAGGAGAACUUGAAAGAAAAAUGAUCUUGAUUUGAAAACAAAAAUAAAAUUUUAUUCAUGAAUAAUAUUGUAAAAACAAAGGGAGGCCCUAUAAAGCUUGUCCAUUUGCCUUGGGCAGAGAAAAAUACUCAUUAUUAAAAAAAGCAGUAAAUUACUUCGAAAUCGAAAUCAUCUCCGAAGCUCAAUGGCCUUCCAAUUAUUGAGAUCAAUAUCUGGUGAACAGCGACACACCAAGUUUGGUAUACCUUCAUCUUCUUCCUCGAUUACAGCCACACAAUCUUCAUCUCUAUACCCAUCACUAUGAAAAACGUAUUGGAGAGUAUAUAACUUCCUUUGACUAUUCUUCUGAGACCCUAUAUUAGCCGGUUUUAACCCAGCCCAAACCAAUUUUUUUCUCAGGUAUCUCCAACAGCUUGCCCUAACUCAACUUAUUUCUACCCUUGAUCAAUUAUGAAAUUUUCGCCCAUGGUGAAGUAGACUUUUCCUUGGUAACUUCUCUUCUUCGGCUGACCUCCGCAAUCUCUAAAGCUUGAAAGGGCAUCUCCAAUGUUUCUCCAUUCGUCUCUAUGUAUCUGAAGGAUGAGAGGUGACUAAUGAACAUGUCUUAUUCCCCCUCGACGAUUAUCAUCUUAUCGCCUACUAUGAACUUCAAUUUUGGUGAAGAGUGGAGGUGACGGCUCCCGUUGCGUGGAUUUAAGGUCGUCCUAGAAGACAACUGUACGAAGGGUUAAUGUCCAUUACUUGGAAGGUAAUUAGGAAUCUAUGUGGCCCCACCAUAAUGGGUAGGUCGACUUCUCUAAUCACCAUUCUAUUUAAGACAUCAAAGGCUCUAACUAUCAGGGUAUUGGCUUUCAUGGAUGUCCUCGUAGUGUUCAGCUUCCCAAUUGUGUUUUUAGGUAAGACAUUUAGCGAUGACCUAUAUCUACUAGGGCCUUUCAGAGGAGACUAUCUUGACACUUAACUGAUAUAUGCAAGGCCUUUUUGUGAGCCUUCCCCUCUGGUGGUAACUCAUCAUUGUUGAACCAUAAGCAACUUCUAGCAGUGAUGUUAGCCACAACUUCAUUAAACUAAUUUACGGUUAUAUCGUGAGUAACAUGUCCCUCAUUCAAGAUUUUCAACAUAGCUCCUGUACGAGCUUAUGAACUUAACAUAAGAGACAGUAUGGAGAUCUUAGAAGGUGUCUGGUUUAGCUGGUCCACCACCUUAUAAUCACUUUUCCUUAUUAACCUUAAGAAUUCCUCAGCUUCUUCUUGGGGCACACCCUUAUUGGAAGGUCCUUCCCCUGAGCCUACCGCUUCUUUCCCUUUUGAACUUUCAGGAAUAUUCUUCUUUAGUAGUUUCUUGGGAGAAAAUACCCUCCCACUUCAAGUCAUACCUCCAACACCCGCUAUGUUAGUGACCGUUGGAUCAAGCACUAGAGGCUUCUCUCCCACAUACGCUGUAACAGUGUAAUUCCAAGGUACAAACUUAGUAUCUGUAUAUGGGAAUGGCGCCAGAACAUGGAAGAUAAUAGGGUCUUCUGACUUUGCUGACAUUUGAACUGGUAUCUGGAAUGCCAUAGGAACUAGUAUCUGGAUUUGAGUAUGAGAAGGAAAUGGUACAGUAAUCCAGAAUGAUACAUGUGCCUCUCCUCUUUGGGAAGGAAUCUCAAAGGUUAGGUGUCCAUGAGAUUCUAUAGCUGAAACAUCUUCUAUCUUCUUUGAGUAUCCAAUUUGAACCAAACUCUGGUUCAUCAUUUGUUGAAGACACUUCUUCAUCUUCUCACAUUUGUAUGGGAUAGACCAACAUAUCUUGCAAUCGUCAUGUAACUCUUCAAACACCUCGUAGCUAAUCAACCUUUCACAUAUUCUAGACAUAGGUGUCUUUAUUUGGUCCACCCUCUGGAAUAAAACACUACCUUUUAAAUUUUCAAUGGUGUUGAUAUUUGGGCCAUCGUGCCCUGGUAGUGGAUUAUUUUUGGCGUUUAGAUUUUCAGUAGUAAAAGAAAUAACCUUAUGGUCGAGCAAGUCUUGGACCUUGAAUUUAAGAUCCAACACCUCUCGGUAGUAUGCCCCGGUGAACCAACAUGAAAGUUACAUCUAGCGUUUGCAUCAUAUCCACGAGGAGGAGGUGUUGGUUGAGGUGCAAGAGGUCUAGUCUCCACCAACCCUCUUUGUAGUAAGUAUGGGACGAUAUGAGUAUACGUCAUGGGUAUAAGGUCAAAGUACUUCCUAGGCCUUUUUUGAUCCGUUCGGGGAUACCCAUUCUGUUGUUGAUUAUGCGGAGGCGGUGCCCUAGACUGUUGAUCUUGAGGCUUGAAGUACACCGGCUGUGGAUACUGAUUAGGAUUUACCGUAAACACAUAGGGAUUUUAAGGAACCCGGGAAUACCCAUCAAUAGUAACAUCAUUGGAAUCACCAUUCUUUGAAUUACUGUUGUUAGGAUACUUUUUGUUAUUGUGGUUACCAGAAGAUGAUUUUUUCGAUCUUAUCGCUUUUCAAACCAUUCUCAAUUCUCUCCCCAAUUAUCACCAAAUCAGCAAAGCCUCUUGAUAUUGACCCUAUCAUCUUUUGGUAUUAUGGGCCUUGUAAAGUGACCAUGAACAUAUCCAUUAGGUCACUCUCCAACAACGGAGUUUUCACACGGGAGGCCAGUUCCCUCCAUCUUUGGGCAUACUCCUUAAAUUAUUCGUUCCACUUCUGUGACAGAUUUUACAAUUGUAGGCGAUUGGGAGCCAUGUCCAAGUUAUAUUUAUAUUUCCAUAUAAGGGAUUUUCUAGAUCCUCCCAAGUCUUGAUGUGGGAUCUUUCCAACUGCAUGUACCAGUCUAGGGAUGCCUCGCUUACACUAUCUUGGAAGCUAUGCAUCGUUUGUUUCUCAUUUGCUGCGUAGGCAGCCAUCUUUAUGACGAACAUCCUACGAUGAUUCUUAGGGAAAAUGACAUCCUUGUAUUUCUCAAGUUCAGGAGUUUUAAAAUUUGGAGGUAUAACUACAUCCGAUACCAAACACAUCCCCAUAACAUCAACUAUGAAUAUAUUGAAACCUUCAACUACCUUCAAUCUUUCUUCCAAGAUUUUAUAUUUGUCUCCAACUCUUGUUUCCCCAAUAGUGGAAGCAGGGAGUGAAGAUAGUUUACUUUCUUAGACCAUACCUCUAUGAUCUUCAUCCUCGUAUUGUUGUCUCAGAUCCAUGUAGUUUUCUUGCGGAACUGGUAUUUGUAUGGGACGGGAUGCCCUACUAUGAAUAAUGGUUGGGAUAGACCCUUCAGGAUGAAGGGUACUAUUCUUAGAUUCACCCCCUUGGAUGUUAGAGAUGAAUCCUUGUAGAGGGUUACCAUCCAGAUUUCCUUUCACUGAGUCCAUAUCCUCCCUGAGAGAAACUUGGUUUUGUUUGAGUUGUUCCAUGGUCUUCUUUUGACGAGCCCGAGUUUGGUAUGACGGCCAGAGAGUCGAAUUGUCUUGAGUAAUGAUUCUAAGAGAAUAAGAGAGAAAAAAUUGUUUUCGUUUCUUUUUAUGCAUGCAUUGUAUGGAUGAAUGUAUGAUUAUGUGUCGCAUCUCAAAAAAUAUGAUUCCUCGCGAAGGUCACGAAAAAAUCUUUCGAAUAGAGUCGCCACCGAACUUUAUUUAUCCCAAUGAAGGAAUAGGAAAAUAUCGAUAAAACCUUUAGAAAAUACAAUAAUGGUCGUCGUAACCAUAUUUGAGUUCGGGAGUCGAUUACGCAAGGGGAAGGUAUUAGCACCCCUCACGUCCGUUGUACUCAAUGAGAACCUAUUAGUUAAAACUUGGAAUUUGAAUGUUAGCUAAUGUUCAUUUGUUUUCUUCGACUGAGUAAAAGAUGUGGAAAGAUAAAUGGAAGGAAACCACAAAAAGGGGAAAAAGGGAGGUUUUUUAUUAGUCUGCUCGUAAUCUCGUGCCUACGUAUCCUUAUAGUGCAAUAAGGAAGUUAGAGCAUUCGUAGUUCGAGGAACUACGGUUUGUUGGUUUCUUUUAAUAAACAACUAUUUAGAUUGCAUUCUAAAGUAUAAACAUUGGCUUGUCUACUCUCGGCAGAGGCUUAAGCACUAGUUUGUUGUACGUGUUAGAGGGGAUUGAACAAUGUUCUUUUUGAAAUGAGUUUCGAUCACACGGGGUGACGAGUUGGAUUAGUAAGGAAACUCGUAUCCAAAUAAUCAAGGAGAGGAAUCAAAGGCUCUAGACCAUCUCUCUUUUCAUCCUUAAUUGCAAAAGGAUUUAAUAUUUGUUAAGGUGUUUUAAAUGGAUGACGAAUACUCAGAUGGUCGAGUAAGGCAACUCAUAUCCAAGUAUUCGAGAAAGGGAAUAGAAAGCUUUAGAACACUUUUUUUUAAUCUAAGUGAUUAUGAAAAUAAGUUUGUGUAUGGUUGAUGUAUUUUAGGUAAAUGAAAAAUGAUCGAGUGACUGAGUAAGGCAACUCAUAUCCAAGCAUUUGAGGAGAGGAAUCGACGACUCUAAACCAUCUCCCUUUUCGUUAAGCUUAUUAUGAAAAUGAUUUGAUUUAAUUGGAUUAGAAGUUUUUAAGAGAAAUGACAAAUGUUUGAAUAACCGAGUAAAGUAACUCGUAUUCAAACAAUCAAGGAGAGGAGUUGAAGGCUCAAAACCAUCCCCCUUUUCAUUUCUAAAUGAAAUGGUGCUUAAUCAUGGUUAGGUAUAUUAAUUUGAUUUGAAUAAAAAUCUUUGAUAUUGGAUCGAGGUUUGAAUUGGUGUUUACAACUUAAUUAAGGGUAUAUUUAGUGAAUCACUCAUCUAAUCGAUUAAUUAAUAAUUGAAUAGGUAUUAUUGUAAGAAAGCCCAAGAGUAAGCUAUGUGAGAUUGAUGGUGAUGCUAAAGGCGAUCGACUUACAAAGGUAUGGAAAAUGGGCUCGAUAUUGAAUCGAGAAUCAUUUGAUUUUUAAAAUGGCUUAGUAAAUCUUUGAUGUAGUUAAUGGGUGGAUAUCAUCAUGAAAAUAACACGGUACAUGGUUUUAGAUGAGACAAGAAUUUGUAUAAGAAAAUUAAUCCAACAAGUGUAAAAUAAUAACUCAAACAAAAACCCAUAACAAAUAAAUAAUUAGCUACAUCAAAUGAUGACAAAAUAAAUAAAUAAUAUAAUAAAAUUAAAUAAGAUACUAAUUAAGUAAAAUAUUAAUUUGGUUAAAUAAUAUAAUAUUCUUCUAACUAAUUUUAAGUAAAACACUUAUACACAAAAAAGAAGAAGAAGAAAUACAUAAACAAAAAAACAUGGGCCUCAUAACCCCAAAAAUGGCCCAAAGGAGCACCCAAAGUCGGUAACAAAGGGGGGUGUAGGGAGUUAAACCGGACUCAUGCCCAAACAGGAGGCCAACUCCCAAAGGAGAGUCCAAUGCUCCUUUAGUCAACCCUGUUGACUCAAACCAACAAACCUUGACCGUCAGGUCCAUAGAUCUGACCUGGUCAAACAAUCCAAGGGGAAGAAUAAAGAGGAGCGCCGUCAUAUAGUGCGGGAUCCAUAUGGGAUCCCCUGGUUGACUCCAUAGUCAACCAUACGUGGCCCAGUCAAGGAAGGCCAAAUGGCCCACAUACGUGGAGGGAGACGGAAGUAUAAAACUUCCCUUCAACAGAGAACGAGUUCAUUUGAUGAACUCAAUUAUCUCUCUUCACCUUAGAGCUCAAAAAUGAUCGGCAACUAAUCACCACCCUCUCCGAUCACCCUCACCGGAGAAGGCGGUGGUUGCCGACCCCAAGCGGCAGCCCCACCUUCUUCUCCGGCAGACCAACACCCCUAAACCCAAAAUAUUAAACACUAACCCUCUUAUUUUUCAACAAGGAUCGAGAAUCUGGCCUUCUCUUCACCUAACUCCUCUCAAACACUCAGAUCAAACCCUAAUAGAAUUAAAAAUAAGAAAGCAUGAAAACCCCCUCUCUCACAGCAAAAGCUAGCCCAGAAUACCGCCUAAAAUACCAAAUGGAAACAGAUUCGCAAGUAAAAGGAGAUAAAAAAAAAGAAACCCUAAUUCCCAAAUUAGGGUCUAAUUAGCAUUUGCUUAAAGAAAUUAAUAUGGGGGUACUGUUCAAAUUUCACAUUGAAGAUACGGGUACAACAAAAUCAAAUAGAAGAAGGAAAACUCACCAACUCGGAGCUAGUCCGAUAAAGUCUCCGGCGAAACAGAUAAGUCCUUUUCCGUUCCUUUUACGAUUUUAACUUCUUCCAACUUCUUCUCUUUUUUUCGUUGCGAUAUGAUUAGCUUAGCUCAACCUACUCAUAUUUCAAUGAGAGACUCUGAGUUUCUUUUCGUUCUUUGAGCUUUGAGCAGGGUUUAUGAGGGCAUUUUAACUGAGUAACAGUAGAAUUAGGUCCUUUCCUGAAUAGAACAAUACUCUAAAUUUAUAGAAAAUGAAUAGGGUGUGUAUGUGUGUGUGUGUGUGCGUGCGUGUGUGUGUGUGUGUGUGUGUGUGUGUGUGUGUGUGUGUGAGAGAGAGAGAGAGAGAGAGAGAGAGAGAGAGAGAGAGAGAGAGCCAAUACGUGUGAGUUUCCUGCGAAUAUCUUGUUUGCUUGUGUGAGAUUUUUAAGAGACAAGUGAGCUAUAAUAUUUGGAGAAUCAAACCGUUAUAGAGGUUUUCCAAAAUUCCUGAUUUUGUGGGAUCUUUUUGUGAGUGGAAGGGCAUGGUUUUGCCUGCAAAAUGUACCUUAUGAUUCCUUCUGAUUUUGAAAUCUGGUCCCCCCUUAAUUGCUAUGUGUUGACAAUAAUACUUUCUUUCAAAUUACUGUUGUUGUAAAAAAUUCGAUAUAGUCUACUUUGAAUGCGUAUUUGCUGAAUUUGGUGUGGUUUAUUUUGGAUGUGGCCUACAUGUUUGUAUUUGUUUUUGGAGGUACAUCUAUUUGUUUUGUGUUAUACUGCUAUAGAUUAUUGUUUCAUGGUAUUAUGCAGGCUAUUAACAUGUCAUUUCUUUGUCAGCAUGCUAGUGUUAGGGUUAUAUCAGUUGAUGUUGUUUUUCUGUUAUGGUAUACUUGCUUUGUUUGAUGCAAUAUUUUGACAUGGAAUACAUUGCUGCUAUGGUAUUGGCUUGAUGUAUUAUUGUUGCUAUGAUUUUGCAAGAUUAGGAGGAGUUGCAUUUCCUCUUUUGUUGAACUCAUUAUUGUUAUUUGGUGCAGGCUUAAGAUAACUUGCAGAAUGAUAGUUUGUGACAUACUACUGGACAUGGAUCUGCAGGCCCUUAGUGAGAGUGAAUGUCAGCUAUUGAAACCUACUAAGGUCUUGGGUGAAGAUGUGAUAUGUUAUGCCACUGUCAUGGGCUGAAAAGAGUGCAUUGUAUUCUGCUGUCGAUGUUAUUUGCAAGCUCGAAGUGGAAUGGCUAUGGCAUGGAAAAUGGGUGCCUUUAGGCAGGGUGGUUUGGGGCUGUAAGUUUGCAGCUUUUCCUUUCCAUUUUAGUUUAGUAUGAUUACAUGAAAUGCUAAUGUAGUGUAGUAUAAAGUUGAAUAAUGGGUUGAAUCAUGUAAAAUGCCUUAAUGUAAUACUCAUGCCCAUUUUUAUGUAAUGUUUAUGAACACACAAGUAAACAUGUUUGUGUAUCAAAUGACUUAUGAUUAAUAUUCAAAUUCAAAUCAAAUCUUACUUAUUUUGCUAGGCUAAAAAUGUGCAUGAAUGCUCUUAUUGAAAUUUAUGACAUGAAAACCAUGGUUUGUUGAUUUUGGUCAACUGUUUGACUAUAAAGUCAUUAAUUGACCAAAAAGUUAACUUAGGUGAAAAUGAUGUAAUUUUAAUACACAAUGCUUUUGAUGAAUCUACAAAAUGAAAUGAAAUGGACCAAAAAUGAUAAUCAAACUUGUAAGACAAGCAACUACAUGUGUUUUUUUAAAAAUACACCUUGUAUCCAAUGCCUAUGCCCUAAGACAGUUUGAGUCGAUGAAAAUCAAUCCAUACUGUGAUUUGUAAAUCGAGCCAAAGAUUAUACGAACUAAAAUGAUAUACAUCAUAAUGAAUGAAUGAACAAACAUCAAUUUAAGCCAAUGCAAAAGCUAGUCAAGCUUUCAUUAAGCAUAUAUCAAUGCAAUGAGCCAUAUGAUCACCCAAUUAACCUCAUCUUGAUCAAGAAGUCUUGAUGGAUCCAAAACCCUAGAUGCAAGGUAGCCAAGAUCCUUAAUGCAACAAGCAUAAGGGAAUUAGAGUUUUGAUGCCUGAUAUAGCACAAGUUACCAAGAGAAACCUGAUUUUCUCCUCUAAUAAAAAUUAUCAUGCCUUGAGUCUAUGUAGCAUGCCUCAUUGCUUUGAAUACCAAUGACAAUAUUAAAAUUCCUAGACAAAAUUGGGGUAUGACAGCUACCCCUAUUUAAUUACGUUGAACCAGAAGGUAUGAGUGAUAUUGGUCCUCGUAUAUUCAUGGUGGAGGAUAAUUAAAUACAAAAGACUUAAAAUUUUGUCUUUCGAGACGUAUGGAUGAAAUGUAAAAAUAAAAUGUAGUGGAGCAUAUAGGGAAAUAGUAAUCAAAAGGCUAAUGGAAUGAUCAAGACUCUCUUGAGAAUCGUCAGAAUAGUAUCUUGGAUGAUAUAAUCGGGACUUUCCAAAGAUGCAAUGAAAUCUCAACCGUAUCUAAUAUUUUCUAAACAUUAGCAGAGCAAUGUCUUGAACUGAACAUACGAGAUUCCUUGAGGAUCAAUGAAGCAGUAUCUUAUAUGAUAUAAUCGAGAUAUCCCAUCAAGGGAAUGAUACCUCAUUCGUAUCUAAGAUUCUCCGAGGAUAUUAGAGUCGUAUCUCAAACAAAAGCUUAUAAGAUUCUCUUAAUCUAACGAAACAAUAUCUUGUCUAAUAUAAUCGAGACAUUCCAACAAAUGAAUGACACGUCAAUUGUAUCUAAAGAUUCUUCGAGGAUACUAGACCAAUAUCUCUAAGAACAAAUGAGAUUCUUCAUAUUAAUGAAGUGGUAUCUCAAACAGAUAAAUGAGAUUCUUCAAAUCAACGAAGCAACAUCUUAUAUGAUAUAAUCAAGAUAUUCCAACAAGGGGAAUGAUACCUCAAUCAUAUCUAAGACUCUUCGAGGAUACUAGAGCAGUAUCUAUAAGAACAAAUGAGAUUCUUCAUAUUAAUGAAAUAGUACCUCAAACAGAUAGAUGAGAUUCUCCAAAUCAACGAAGCAACAUCUUAUAUGAUAUAAUUGAGAUAUUCCAACACGGGAAUGAUACCUUAAUUACAUCUAAGACUCUUCGAGUAUACUAGAGCAGUAUCUCUAAGAAGAAAUGAGAUUCUUCAGAUUAAUGAAGCAGUACCUCAAAUAGAUAGAUGAAAUUAUCCAAAUCAAUGAAGCAGCAUCUUAUAUGAUAUAAUCAAGACAUUUCAAAAAGGGAAUGAUACCUCAAUUGUAUAUAAGACUCUUAUAGGAUACUUAGAGUAGUAUCUCAAAUGUUCAUCUGUUGGGAAAAUGAUUCAGAAAAGACUUCUUUAAGACCCCAAUUUUGACCCUAAGAUCCCUCAUGAUAUCUCAUCAUAUGCAUUGGCUUUGGGAUCACACCUUGGCAUCCUCCUUACCCCUCAUACAUUGGGUUUACAUUGGGAGAGAUCACCAAGCAUAUUUUAUUGUAUCAUACUUUGCUUGUCAUUAUUCACUAACCAAAAUACCAAAAAUAUGUCAAUGUAUAUUUUGUUUCUUUUGUAGGUAGUGUCUACAUCCAUCAAUGCCUCAUCAAGCUCAUAUUUAUAAUUUAAGACCCCUAAUGCAAGGUGUAGCACCUCAAAUUUGCACCCAUCAUUGUACAUACCAUCUCAUAUUAGGUCAUAGCAUAUCAUGACCCAUUGCAUAGCAUUGCAUUGUCCCCAGUUGCCUCAAGAGCAAGCAAGUCAAGAUUUAGGUCAAACUGAUCAGGAGAUCAGUCAACCAAGCAAGCAAGGUUGUUUCUCAAGGAGCCAAGGCCCUAGGGUUUGUCCAACAAGUUCACAUGACUUGGAGGUCCAUUUGAAGUGUUUAAGUCAAGGGUGGGAUGUUCAGAAGCCAUCAGUUCAUGCACAGACAGUCAGAAACCCUAGAAAGUCAAAGUUGGUCAACUGUGGUUCAUUUUGUGGUUUUGAUGGAUGGAUUUGGUUUGAGAGAGCUUAUUCAUGUCCCAAUAGGCCUCAUAUAUCAUGGCAAUCAACAUCAUUGAAGAAUUUGAAGCCAAUCAGAAAAUUUCCAAAAAUAGAAACUGGACCUGUAAUUUUAACUGCCAAAAAUGGAAACUUCUUGAUCCCAAACUUACAUCAUGAUACAAGCUUCAAAUGAAUUUUUGCCCAACAUGAAAGUUGAAGAUCUUGUUCUCCCAUUUCCAAAAAGUCCAAGAACUCUCAAUUCCCAUGUAUGGUUGUCAAGAUAUGAUCAAAUCAUUUUCACAAAAUCUUGAACUUCAAAAGGCCAUAUCUCUCAAACCAUUUGGCCAAUUUUGGUGGGGUUUUUUCCUACAAACCACAUUUCAUCUCCUCUUUCCAAAAAUAUAAAUUUCAUGCACCAAAACCUUGCCAAUCAAAAUGGCAUUUUUUGACUUGUCUCAUUUAAAUUCAAGUGUGGACCAAAGGUUGACUUUUUGAAUUAGGUAUUUUUAAACCAUUUGGCCAAUUGGGACUUGUUUUAGAUGAUAUUUGGGACAUGUUUGAAGCCCAAACUCGGGCAGACUUGCACACUCCAUUUGCUUUUGGUGCAAAUUUGGCAGUUUUGCAUUUUUGGUUCAUUUAGCAUAAAUUUGAUUAGCACAUGAUUAACAAAACCUAAACAGAGGUAUAUAAUCAUUUUUCUGAGCAUUUGGUAAAGACCUAGCAGCUGCAAACACACAGAAUACACCUCAUUCUCUCAAUUUGCAUUUUGAUCACAUUGCAUUUUCUGAGCAAAAACUCAAAAAACCCUCGAGCCUCCUUUGGUUUUUCCAUCAUCCAAGCAUCCUUUUAAACUCACUACAACCAUCUUUUUACAUCUGCGAGCAGCCUCGAGUCAACUGUUUUCCAAAGCAUCCAUCCAUGGCAAGAAUCGGGUUGAGCUAUUGCAAGGGUUUCUGAGCUAAAUACCACUGCCUUCCACCUCCUAGGACCAUCAUCUUCAUCUGUUUUAACUGUUCAAAGCCAGAAAGUUGCUGAAUCUUCAUCUGCUCUUCAACAGGGGUUAGUUUUCGAGUCUUUUGUUUCUCAAAUCUAUGCCAUGAUUAGUGUAGAUUCUAGUAUGCUGAUUACUAUGAACUUUGUCCCAUGUGAAAUGGUUAAGUAAGUUGCUAGAAAUCUGAAAAUGAAGUUUUGUGUUCAUAUGCAUUUUUGCUCAAUUCUCCUUCAUUAGCGUGUUUCCAUGAAAAUAGUGUUUAGAUUCGUCUUGUACAUGCCCUAAUGGUUCUAUUGAUGUACUCAUUUUUCAUUUCUGGAGAUGUUUGUUCAUAAGCAAAGUUUUGAUGCUGAGUUUCUUCUGUUCGAUUCAUGAAUUUGGUGAUGUUUUGAUGAAAAUUAAUGCUGUACCCUUGUUUGCCUUGCCAUGCUGAGCAUUUCUGUGUAUGCAAUUUGAAUUUCUGGAAUUUUUCAUGAAAACUCGAUUUGGGAGUGAUGAAGACGCAUCACUGUAGUAUGAACCCUAAUCCCAAUUUAUGCCUUGCCCAGAAUCUGCAUUUUGAACGCGUGCAUGGUACUGUUGAGACAUGCACCAAUGAGAACAUUUCGUUUUGAAGCCCUAUGCACGGUCGUUUUGAUUAGUGGACCUCACAAUUACGAAUAUGCCAUUCUCCAUUUAAUUAAUCCAAUUUAUUUCAUUUUUAUUUCAAUAAUUAUCUCACUUUGUUCAUCAAUCUUUGAAAAUUCAUAUUUUAUUCAUUUCAAAUCCAAAUCCAGUGGGAAUUUUUGCAUCAUGUUCAUUUGAUUGUCUAGUUUUUUAUCAUCAUUUUUUUAGAUUUUUUUGAUCAGUGAAUUUUAAAUGGCCUUAGGGUUUGUAUAAUGUGAUCAAAAAUUGUACCUCUUGCCAUUUCUCUUGUGAAAUAAUCAUGUUGCAUCCAUUUGAUCUGAAAAUUUUUGUGGUUAUUCUACACUCAUCCAUGCUUAUUUUGGUGUAAAUUUCAUGAUUUUAUCCUAUGUGGUUUGAGAGCUUUGAAUUUUUGAAGUAGGGUGUGACAACUUGUGUCACACCAUGGGUGUGCAAUUUCAUGAAUUUUGAUGACAUGCUUCCUGACCUCCAAAUGAUCCAAAUUUUUGUAUGAGCCUUCUCUCAUAUGUCUAGUUUAUGUGUGAAUUUUCUUGGAUAUAAUUGAGCUAUUUUCCAUUUGUUUGAGAUUUUUCUUUCCUGCCUAGUCAAUUGUUGACUUUGUGUGACACAUCUGGACAUUUCAUUUGGGAAAUUCUCAUGCCUUAUUGUAUGAUCAUGAAAUUUUGCAUGUGCAUACUAGACAUCUUGAGCUUUGCAUUGGUGUUAAUCUCAUUCAUUUCUCAUCUGUUUUCAUUUAGUUAUGAUUUUUUGAAGUUGACCCAUGUUUGUUUGACUUCUUUGUGCAUGCUUGAAUUUGCUUUGACUUUAUGAUUUUCAUUGACUGCCUUCCACUUGUCCAAAUGCAAUGAAAUUUGACAUGCUUACCAUGCUAGAUGUUAGGAUUGAGUAUGAUUUAUUUGAUGAUUUUUGAAAUUGUUUGAGUUGACUUUUGAUGCAAGUCAUUCUGUCGACUUCUUUGAGCCUUCAUUUGCCAUGCUUUGGUUUCUCUUGCUCAUGAAAUGAUGAUGAUGCAUGAUAUGAAUAUGAAUCCAAUUGUGCUUGCUUCUUAAAUGUUUGAACUUGACUUUGGUUGACUUUCAUUUGCUGUUUUGACUUUCUCCUUUGUUUUUGACCCUAGGCUUGUCCUAGUGGUCUUUUGGGCUUAUGAUUGAGUUUAUGUUUCAGGUUAAGCAACAAUGCCUCAAAGAUCAUACAAAUUUGAUUGAGUUUGAUUACAUAUCAUGUGCUAACCUUUGUUUUGUAGGUGGUAUGACUCACAUAGUUUGAGUAUCGUGCUUUGCACAUGGGUCCCUCUGUGUUGACUGUUGUUUCCCAAUUCCUUUUGUUUUGACUGUUGAAAUGUGUACUGAUUAGUUUGACUAUUUCAGGUACCCUUAGUUGCUUAAGUUCUUUGAACUUGCUUUGCUUUGCUAUUUAGCAACUUGCUUGAGGUAUAAUUCCUUUUUCUUCAUGUAGUCUGGAAGACCUGGCCUGUUACUUGGCCAGGCAACUGUCUGAAGUCCUCCUUAAGAGGCAAUGUUUGUGUAUGUUUAAUUUGUCCUUGUACAGAGUCAAAGACCUCCUAAGUGAAGAGGCAAUUGGCAGAACCAAGGGAUAAGCAACCUAUCCCCUGCUAUUCAGUGUGUCUUCUGUUUUGCUCACACCACUGUGUUGAUGCAUUACAGAUAAAAACCCAAGAUCUUGUGCAAUUGCACAGUUGAGUCAGUAUCAAAUGUGUAGAAGGGUUCCCACUUUCUGAACCCACACAUUCUUGUCAAAUGCUCUCCCUGGCCAGGGAUAGAAGCAAUGAGGCACACCCCUCAUCUCCUUUCAUCUGCUUCACCUUAGCCCCUCAAUGGCAAGGUUAAGAGCAACAUUCACCCCAUUCCAGAGGUUUGUUUGUUGAGGUUGAUAUGACCCCUCGACUAAAACCUAACCCUUGUGUGAGCCCCUUGUUUGUAUAUAGUGUGUGCUACCUGUGCUUGUAUGUUUGUUUGACUUGCUUCCUGUGCAAGUUAGGAUUAGUUUAGACUUGCUUCCUGUGCAAGUUAGGUUUUGCUUGGCUUGCUUCCUGUGCAAGUUAAGUGUGUGUGUGGCUUGCUUCCUGUGCAAGUCAUGAUUAGGAUAGGCUGGCUCCCUGUGCCAGUUAGCUAGAAACCUUAACUUAGGGAUGAUUUUGCAUGAUAACAUCUAGGCUCGAGUCGUAGUCUCCCUAGUUGUGUCUCCCUCUGUUAUCUGGUUAGGCUAGUCCUUUAUCCCUCCGUAGGGGAACUACAUCGCCCUGAUCUUCAUACCAGAUGAAGUAUGUAGGCAGGAGAUUGAGCUGAUCUCUCCGGGCGCCCUUUUUCUUUUUUGUGUGUGUUGUUUGACAGUUGCUAGGCUCGAGUGCCUGACUCCUUAGCAAUUUGUUGUCUGUUUGUUUGAGUGUGUGCUUGACAGUUAUAGGCUCGAGUCCCCGACUCCCUAUUAACUUGUUGUGUUGUUGUGUGCUUGGAAGCUGAUGUAAGUCCAUCGAGUGGCAUUUGGGUUCCAGUGUGUGUGUGUUUUGGUUCGGAUGUUGAUGUAAGUCCAGUGAUUGGCAUUCAGGCUCCACGUUUGCCUUUGCCUGUGUUUGUUUGUGUGCGUGUCAGCCGAGCUACGAAUGCUCUGAUUCUUCUCUCGUCCGAGAAGAUACGUAUGCAUAGGAUGCGAUAUCCUAGCGAGCAUGUGUCGUUUCCCCAGUCCGAACUACUUCGACUCUGAUGUCUAUGCCUGAUAGACUAAGUAGGCCCAGGAUGCGAUAUCCUGCCGAGUCAGUUUCAGUCAGUUUCUUUUGUCUCUUUCAGCCAGUGUGUGUGAGUUUGAGCAGUGUUUAGCAACCAAUUUUCCUUCCUUUUGUGCGUGGAUCCCGUAGAGUACUACGGAUGCGUAGGGGUGCUAAUACCUUCCCUUCGCAUAACCGACUCCCGAACCCAUUCUCUUUGGUCGCGAGACCAUGUUCUUUCCCAGGUUUACUUCGAGCGUUUCCUUUCCCUCUUUUGGGAUAAAUAACGCACGGUGGCGGCUCUGUUGUUUCUUUCUUUUCCCGCCGGUUUUUCGCGUAAUGAGACACAAGGAAAUCAAUAAAGAGGUGGUUUACAUGGACUCUAGACAUCAUGUAUGGAUCCCCAUGGUCUUCACAUAUCAUUUCGAUCAAGAAAACAUCAAGAGUUUGAAGUUUGUUUGCCUUGGAAGCCCUAAUUCAUCUGGGUAUCUUGUGUGACUUCCUCAACAAGUUUCUUCAUCAUUUGAUCAAAUAUAUCAAGGGAUAAUUCAUUAUACAUAAUCUUAAGCAUAUGUGAUCCUCCAUAAGUCCCAAAUAUCAAUAUAAUUUGAAGUUUGCAAGAUGGUUCAUGGUGGUUGAUCAGAGAAAGUCAACUAGUCAAAACUGGGGUUCCCUAGACCCUAUGUCCUACAAUUUGUGUCAUAUGAAAAUGAUUCAAAUAGAAACGUUACUCCUUAUGACAUUAAAAACAACUUUCAUGUUGAAGUCAAGAUCUAGGUUUUCUUGGAAAGUCAUUUUUUAUGGUGAAAUAUUAUAGGUCAUUUUGUCUAAACCCUAGUUAGGAGGUCAUCUUCCAAGGAUCAUAACUUGCUCAUUUUGUAUGAGAUGAAAUCCAUUCAAGUUCCAUGAUUAAAUUCAAGAUGUACUCUCCAACUUUUAUGUUUGGAAUAAGUUCAAAUUUAACUUGAAAAUGCAUGUGCUAAGAGGAAACAUUAUAGGUCAUUUUGAGCCAUUACCAUUGAACACGUGAUUUUCCUCAACUUCUAAAAUGCAUAACUGCUUCAUACCAAAUCCAAAUAAGGUCUAACUUGUGACUAAAUUGAAUAGUUUUGAAAGAGAUACAACUUUGAUGAAGGAAUGGUUUCCAUUUGAUGUCCAUAGGAAAAGUUAUUCAAGGUGGAAGAAGUGAACAUUUGGCUUGGUACUGAGAAAAUUUUCAAAUAUGUUUGAUUCUCCAAACUUCCAACUCAAAAUUGAUCAUGAUACAAGCUUCAAAUGGAAAAGUGUUCAACAUGAAAGUUAAUCCCCUUGAUCUCAUCUUUCCAAAAAGUCCAAGAUCACCUUGUUUGACCAAAGAAUGAAGGACUUGCACAUGGGUUCGUUUCAAGGGACCAAUUGGAUGAUUUUCACCUUCACAUUUCAAACUCAAAGGCAUGGCCACAUGACAUGAUUUCAGCAUCAUUCACAAGCAAUUUUGGACCUGAAUACAUCACUUGAUGGGCCUAUCACACACCCAUGCAAGCAUGCAAUGAAAAUUGCUAAAUUUGGAAAAAUUUGGAAGUGUGUGGAAAUGAAUCACAUUGGCUAUAAGUACAACCCUUCAUGCUCAAAAUUAAGGACCUGAUGCCCAAGCUUUGAACCUACAAUCCAAACCCUCACAAGGUUGAAGCUUCUGAAACCAAGCCAAGCACAAUUGGGAUCAAGAUCAAGCAAGGUUGAAGCUCCCUCGAAGGUAAUUUUUUUAGAAUUUUCAUCUCUUCGAUUCUCCCUCAAUUCUCAUAUAUUCUUUGUGAUUUUUGGUUGGCUGAAGUCCUACCAAUGUAGGGAAGAAGAUUGAGUUGCUUUGAGGUAAAAUUGAAGCAACUUAGUUUAUGAUCCUCAAAAUUCAAAUCCCUGUAUCUUUUUAUAUACUUGGAAUUGAAGAAAAUCGAGGCCAGAUUCGAGCUCCUGAGCAUUUUCUCUUCAAAAUAGUGUCAUUGAGAUCAGUCACCAUUUGCAUUGAGUUUUCGUUACUGAUCUGACACGAAACAAAGGCUUUUGACACACUAUGCAAACAUUUAUGAUACAUUUCGAGUUAGUGAUACUUCUGUCAUUUUAUUUAAGAAUUUUUAUCAUUGUUAUUUUUUACUUAUAUUUUAGUGAUUUUAUGCGUGGGAUAGCUGUGUUUUUGUCCGACAGGUCCAAGUAGAAGAACCAGGGAACUUAGAACGAGACAAUGCGAGAUUCUGACAAGCAGAGAAGCAGAAAACCCCGGUACAGGAGGCCUGACACGGCCACCCGUGUCAGCUGACACGGGCCGUGUCAGGCAAGGAAGGACGUGUGAAGAAAAAUAGUAGCAUGACACGACCACCUAUGUCAGUUGACACAGGCCGUGUCAGGCGCCUCCACCAGCCGUGUCACCCCAUGCCAGGGGCGUGUCAGCCAGGACAGUAGGCCGACAUGGCCACCCGUGUCAGCCCAAGCUCUAAUAUUCAGUUUUUCUCGGGCUUUUGUUCGUCGGGCUUUUUCAGAGAUAUUUUUAGACAUGUCCAACUUCUGCUUGGAAUUUUCACUAUAAAAGAGGGUCUUCUGCCAAAGGAAAAAUCAUCUUGGAAUACAGCAAAAUACAGUAUUGUGAAGAAAUUAAGUAUUACAGAGAUCAAGGCAUUUUGAGAGCUGAAGGUUUUCAUGAGCGGGAGCGAUUGAAGAUCAAAGUCAUCCAAUUACUUGUAAUGUGUAAUUUUUAUCUUGCAUUUGUUUUAAACAAUAUGAGUAGCUAAACCCCCCAAUGCUAAGGGGGUGUCCCUGAUUUAUAAUUGUGACGAAUUUGAGUUUACAUUUGCAUUUAUAAUAUUAUUUUUACGGUAACCUUUUGAUGUGUUUAUUGCUUUCUCGUUUGGACCAAUCAAGAUUGAUUUGUGGUUAUCAAUUAAGUUGGACCUCCAUUGAUAAGGUUUUCAUAAGAUUACUUUACAGUAGAUAUCACCUAGGACUAGGGAUACCCUGUAUGAACCAGAGUAUUCUUGAUAUUAUAUAGCUUAACUUCACCCUAAUUGGCUAUGGACAUGGAAAUUAAGGUGGAUUGAUUAAAAGGUUUUCUCACCAAGGACUUGGAUAAAAUACCCUUAAGAACUAAUAGUAAUUGAUAUUUAUUGAUGCAAUAGUGACUCAGAGUUGUUACAUGGAUAAAUCAUACACCUUCCCUGGCAUUGUUCCUUUUUCUCUAUAAACCCUUACUUUCAUCCUUCUUUACCUUUACUUUUAUUAUUACGUUUUUACACCUAAAAACCAAAUUAAUACUUUUAAUUUAAUUGAAUGACAAUUUAAACUCAAUAUUAAUUUGCAGUCCUUGAGAUCGACAUUCGAGGAUUUUCCCCAUUAUUAUUAUAAAAGGCAAAAUAGCACACUUGCUAGUUUCCCGAUCAAGUUUUUGGCGUCAUUGCUGGGGACUGCCAAAAUAUAGAGUUUAAUUUUAAGUUCAAUUAAAAAUUUUGUUGCUCUGCAAUAAAAUUAUUUUUCUGUCAUUUAUAUAUUUUUAUUCACUAAUCUGUGUAUGCGAGGAGAGCCCUCAACAAAAUUACUUUUUGACGCAGAAAUUGAGAGAACCCUUCACCGGAUACGUAGAAACGCUAGAUUAGAUUCCAAUGAAGAAGUUCCCUCUGAUCACUCAGAUUCAGAAAGAGAAACUAUGGCUGAAAUUCCUCCAGUUCCACCGCCUCCACCUCAGGAAAGACUCCUAGGUGACUAUGGAGGGGUAAAUGCACCGGGUGGUAGAUUGACCAUUGUCAACCAACCGGUGAAUGUGACGAACUUUCAACUGCAUCCUAGCAUAAUCAAUCAACUUGAGAGAAAAUCUUUCACCGGAAAGGUUAAUGAAGAUGCCAACAAGCACCUGCAGAGAUUCCUGACCAUGAGUACUACUUUGAAAAUUGAUGGUCAUACUGAUGAAGCCAAAAAAUUAAGAAUGUUCCCGUUCACUUUAGCUGAAGAUGCGGAAGAAUGGUUCUACUCUCUUCCAGCCAGCAGCAUCACAUCAUGGAAAGAGAUGGAAACUGCAUUCUUAAAUGAAUACUUUCCAGCAUCAGUAUUCCUGAGGAAAAGGUAUGAAAUCCUUAAUUUCAAACAGAAGGAUGGUGAAUCAUUGGGAGACACCUAAACUGCAUUCUUAAAUGAAUACUUUCCAGCAUCAGUAUUCCUGAGGAAAAGGUAUGAAAUCCUUAAUUUCAAACAGAAGGAUGGUGAAUCAUUGGGAGACACCUACAAAAGAUUCAAAAGGGUCUUAAUAGCGUGUCCAACUCAUAAUAUGGAUCAGACUUAACAGAUGCAGAUGUUCGUUAAUGGGCUAAAAAUAAAAAUAAAAUAGUUGAUCGAUACAGCAGCUGGUGGCUCUACAAAUUUCUCAACAACCAUUGGUAUUAAAAGGAUCAUUGAAGCGAUAGCCGCAAAUGAGCAUCUGGAAUUAUAUGAUAGGGGUACAAGAAAACCUAAAGGAGUCAUUGACCUGAAAAUACAAGCAAAUAAAAUCCGUUUGGAAGAUACAGUCGCUGCUGAAGUGGAAAAGAAAUUGAAAGCGAUGCAUAUAGGUACUCAACAGAUAGCUCAAGUCCAACCGGCUCAGGCCAGCACUUGUGAAAUCUGUAAUGGAUCCCAUCACACGGUCUAUUACUUUGCUACUCCCCAACAAAUUGAUGAGAUUAAAUUCUUAAAGCAGAAUAACCCCUACUCUAACACUUACAAUCCAGGUUGGAACAAUCAUCCAAACUUCUCCUAGAAAGAUAAAAAAGGGAAUGUUCCACAACAGGGUCAAGGUCAAUAUCAGAGUCAAUAUCAACAACAGCAAGCUCCAAGGAAAGCAGAUUGGGAGAUUUCCAUUGAAAACAUGGCAACUCAAAAUAGGUAAUUUGAAGAAGAGACUAGAAACAAUCAUAAAAACACCACCGCCUCCCCAAAGAAUCUUGAAGUUCAGCUGGGGCAAAUAUCACAACAACUAGCGAGUUCUCGAACACCAGGAUCCUUACCAAGUGAAACAGUUCAAAAUCCGAGAGGUCAAGAGAAUGUUAAUACUGUCACGACAAAAGAGAUAAAGGUUGCUAAAAAGAAAAAGAUUAUAUCACCGAGCGAGCUGACUGAAGAGGAAAUUACAAAAGAGACUAAACCGGUGAUUAAGUUGCCCUACCCUCAGAGAGUGACAAAGAGGGAACCUAGCGAGUCAGACUUGGAGAAAUUCAUGACAAUGUUUAAAAGGGUUGAGGGUCGUAUGUCUUUGUUCGAAGCACUCAAAAGAAUGCCCAUGUACAAGAAAUUCAUGGAAGAGGUACUGGCCGAAAAGAAACCAACCACCGAAGAACAGUUAUCCUGGAAGGAACAGUAUUGUGCAAACUCACUGGGGCAGAAAAUUCCUAACAAACAAAAGGAUCCGGGAACGGUAGCAGUACCAUGCACAAUUAAAGAAAGAACCUUCAAAAAGGUACUAAUAGAUUCUGGAGCUAGUGUGAAUCUGAUGCCAUUAUCAAUCUAUCAUAGGUUGGGUAUUAAAAAUAUCAGUGAUAUAAAGACCAAUCUGAAGUUUACGGAUCACUCAAGAAAAGAUGCAUAUGGUAUAGUUGAAGACGUGGUGGUAACAAUAGAGGACUUGAUUUUUCCAAUUGAUUUUGUAAUCCUAGACAUACCUAAAGAUGAUGAGGCACCCAUCAUCCUGGGUCGACCUUUCAUGCUGACAAGUCGAUGCAAUCUCGACAUGGAUCAGUGCACGUUAACCUUGAAAGUUCACGACAAGGAAAUAACAUUGAAUGCUAUUGAAGACCAGGAGCUAGAGGAAGAUACAUAAUCUCACUAUCAAGUAGGCUUAAUCUGGACAUUGAAUGCUAAUAGAAUCUCACCACUGCCAUUAGCCACUCUGAAUGGAAAGACUCUCAUCUCUAUUCCAAAAACCAAGAGAAAUAAAAGAAAACGAAAACAAGGUAAGAAGAUGAGGGUUAAAAAGGACUUGUGGCACGAAGAAAUCCAGACAGAGAAAAGAGACAACGUCCUGAUUUUGAGGUGCAACAAGGUUUGGAGCCUGAAAUACCCCCCAUAACAAGGGGAAUGAACCUUCGAGCCAGACGACGUUAAACGAAACGCUUCGUGGGGGGCAACCCACACAUUUUAAAUUUAAUCAAUUAUAUGUGUUUGUAGGUUUACACAGGAGCUCUACAAGGAGGAAACAUCAUGUCAACAAAUGUCUAUGUCAUGCAAAUAGAUGAUCGACAUGGCCAGAGAUACCAACAGUUAAACCGGAGAGAAAGCUAAAAAAUGGCCAAAACGGAAGCCUGACACGGCCACCCGUGUCAGCUGACACGGGCCAUGUCAGUAGGGCAUAAAAAUCAGACAAAAGGUGGAAAAUAGUGGCCUGACACGGCCACCUGUGUCAACUGACACGGGACGUGUCAUGAGCACUGAAGGUGACAAGAAUUUUUUGAUCAACAGUAGCCUGAAACGGGCCGUGUCAGGAGCACAGGAGGUCAUCCCCAAUCGUGUUUGAAAAUAGUAGCCUGACACGGCCACCCGUGUCAGGCAAGCGAAAAUUUUGAUUUUUUUUUUAAAAUUUGAAUGUUUAGUGGGACCCACCCAUUUACUCCACCAUUAACCAUAACUUUUCCCCAUUAACCUUAUCAUUAUCAGAUUUUUCAUUACUCACUCAUUAUUCUCUCUCAUCACUCUUACUCUCUUUCUCUCAAAAACCUUCCAACCUCCAUUAAAACUCAAAACCCCACUACCUAAAACCUUCCAUAACCCCCUCUUCCACUCACCUAUCGCCAAAACACCCUUCACUAAUAUUACUCCACUCACCGUCCCGGUCCUAACCACGGUUUCGUAAUUUCCUAACUCAAAAGUUCAAAUAAUUUCUAUUUUUGCUGGUCCAAAAUGCCCCCGCGGAGAAUUCUCACAGGAAAGCAACAACUUGCGGAAAUGGCGAAGUCACGGAAGCGCUCGAGUCAGAAUCCAAAUCCAUACAACAUCGUGUUUGACAAUCCGGAACAAGAAAGGAGAUACCAAAUUCACCGGAAGCAAAAACUCACGCCGACGAGGUACAUGUGUGAGCAGACUCUAAACACUCUGGGGCUCAAAAUGGAGGUAUACUGGAUGUUCCAUGUUUUAGGAAUGCUAGAGUUCAUGAGUUUGGAAGCGCCAACAUACGAGCGCAUUACUCUCGAAUUCCUCAGCACGUUGGAAUUCCAACUUGAAAAGCGGUGGAUAGACACGACCAUGUAUUAUUUCGGCACAUUGCGUUUCCGGUUGUUUAAUAAUUAUCAUGAGUUGUCUGUUGAGGAGUUAACAACAAUACUCCGACUCCCUCUGUACGGACCAGGAGCGGUCCUAGACGAGUUCUCACCUAAGGAUUUAUGGAUUGCCAUCACUAGUAGGACGGAUUACACCUCCAAAGGUGCUAAGGCCUCGGGAAUCCAGAAUCCAUGUUUCAGGUACGCUCAAAAGGGUUUGGCCUACACCCUAUUUAGAAGGGGCGAUAGUACAGGGGUAGCUACUCAGAGAAAGCUAUUCUUUAUGUACCUGAUGGCUCAAAACAAGGUCAUCAAUGUAGCUGCCUUUGUAGUGGGAUGAUCAUCAAAAUCACUGAGCAUUUUGGUUAUCAAGUUGUUUUACUCGAAGACACGCCAAUUGCAGGUAAGACCAAAAUUGACAUGUCUGCUCUAAUUUCACAAGGUAUGAUUGUUGUUUCCCCUACUUACUAUUCUCUGCUUAUCCAUAAGAGGUUUAUUAUCGCUCUGCCGGAUCUGGACAUAGUUGCUAUUUCUGACUGUGCUAAUUGGUUGUAUGUGAGCGCUGACCCCGACGUGGAGGAAGGCCACGACACUGACCAUUUUACUGCAGGUGAUCAGUUUAUAGAUGACCAGGUGAAGGGCACGGAGGCAGAAGAAGAAGAACCUUAAGCCCUCAGGAGCUGUUUGUACCAUCACAUCAGGAACCUACCCAGCAGGAGGCGGGUUCAUCUUCCUGGUCCACUGACCAAUGGAGUUGGGUACAAACCGAAAUAGGUAACUUGAGGACGGAACAAUAACAGUAAGGCAUCGAGCAAUCCCGUCAAGGGGCGAUGUUGGAUGAGAUGAGCAGCAUGAUGCGACAGUUGAUGCUGCAUAUCCCGCAACCACCUCCUCAGUAGGGUACUAUGAGUGCCCUCCUUCGCUAUUGUUCGCAAACAUUGUGGACAAUGUUGAGUUCAAGUGUGGGGGAGAUUUUAUGUCUGUUAUUGGUAUUUUAGUAUUUUAUUCUCAGUAUUCUUUAUCUGAAUCUUCUCGAGGACAAGUUGAUCAACAAUCUUCUUCCAAGUAACGGAAGGCUGAGGCAUGCUAGAAGAUAAAACCUCUGGCUCUCUCUGUCUCUUCGCCACUCAGUCUUCAAGUAGCUCAAUCAGUGUAUCUUUGUCCUUAGACUCCAACUGCAACUCUUCAUGCUUCUUGCUCAAAGCAUGGAAACGCUCUUCCCACACAUCCUUCUCUUGUUUCAUCUUGGUGAGUGCGUCUUCCAACUCCUCUACAUCUUUCUUAGGGAGAGUUAAUGGCUCAACCACAACCAUAGGCACAGGUCUUUCACAAGGAUAAGGCAUCUUCAACUCCAUAGUUCUCUUCUUCACCCAAAGAGUGUAAGCUUCUAAAGCUACAUAAUUGCGCGAACCAAGCUCAGAUCUUCCUUUCCUAUGCACAUUAUGCCAAGCAUGCACAAUCUUCUGCUUCAAAUGUUGGGGAUCUUUACCCUCUUGAUAGAAAAGACCUUCUAACAACAUGUUAUUAGGUUUGUCUCUCAAGGAGAACCCAAGCUGACGACGAGCCAAAGCAGGGUUAUAGUUAAUUCCUCCUUGUGUACCAAUGAGAGGCACAUUAGAGAAUUCACCACAACUAUCAAUAAUAUCCAAACUGCUUAAGGACGGAUCAUACCAAACUAUAUCAUCAUUAGUGAGAGACAUAAGUCAAGAAUUCACCACAACUAUCAAUAAUAUCCAAACUGCUUAAGGACGGAUCAUACCAAACUAUAUCAUCAUUAGUGAGAGACAUAAGUCUCUGAGACCACCUUAGACAUUGUUUGUUCUCCAUAAAAGCCGGCGUCUGAGGCAAGUGCGAAAUAAACCACUUGUACAAAAGAGGAAUGCAACAGACGAUAGUUCCACCACCCUUAGAAUUCCUUAGAUGCAAAGAGAAAUACAUAUCACCCAACAAAUUAGGCACAGGAUUCCCAAUCAAGAAAAGUCUAAUGACGUUAACAUCAAUAAAACUGUCAAUGUUAGGGAACAAAGCUAAUCCAUAGAUGAGCAACACAAAGAUGGCUUCAAAAGCAUCCACACUACCAGUUUGAGCAAAAAUAGUAGCUUCCUUGAUGAGGAAAAUAGAUGACAAUCCAAAUAACCCUCCUUUCUUCACCCAAUGAGCCUCUAUCUCAGACUUCUUCAAGUGAAGAGCUUCAACAAUAAUACUAGACCGGGGAAUCUCCUCCAAUCCAAUAAAAGGCACUCUACUAGAAACAGGUAUCCCCAAAAGAUCAGAAUACUCCUCCAAGAUAGGCACUAGCUGAAAAUCUGGGAAAGUGAAGCAAUGGUAGAGACGAUCAUAGAACUGCACCAAUACACUCAAAAGUCCUUCAACUACAUCAUCAGACAAGAUGGACUAAAGCUUCCCAUGACAUUGUUUAAAGUCCAAGGGAUCUAAUACAAAAGAUGCUAGCUUCUUUAACUCUUUCAAGUCGGGACAUCUGAAACUCUACUUCUUAGUGUUCCUUCGUCCAUAAUCCAAGGUCUGAAAAUAUUUGCAAAUGAUACCUUAGGUCCUUGAAAUUUUCGUGUGAUGAAUGAUAUGAUGCGCAUGAAUGCAUGAACGCAACAAUCACAAAUAAGGGAUCACACACAAGGCAAACAAAGGUCAAGGGAUGAAUCAAGUCAUUGUCAAGAUCAAUCAUCCAUUUUGGUGGAUUAUGGUUUACACCUUAUCAACACUCAAGUUCCAUUGAUAUGGGGAUCUUUACCCUCUUGAUAGAAAAGACCUUCUAACAACAUGUUAUUAGGUUUGUCUCUCAAGGGGAACCCAAGUUGACGACGAGCCAAAGCAGGGUUGUAGCUAAUUCCUCCUUGUGUACCAACGAGAGGCACAUUAGAGAAUUCACCACAACUGUCAAUAAUCUCCAAACUGCUUAAAGAUGGGUCAUACCAAACUAUAUCAUCAUUAGUGAGAGACAUAAGUCUCUGAGACCACCUUAGACAUUGUUUGUUCUCCACAAAAGUAGAUGUCUGAGGCAAGUGCAAAAUAAACCACUUGUACAGAAGAGGAAUGCAACAGACAAUCGUUCCACCACCCUUAGAAUUCCUUAGAUGCAAAGAAAAAUACAUAUCACCCAACAAAGUAGGCACAUGAUUCCCAAUCAAGAAAAGUCUAAUGGGGUUAACAUCAACAAAACCGUUAAUGGUAGGGAAUAAAGUUAAUCAAUAGAUGAGCAACACAAAGAUAGCUUCAAAAGCAUCCACACUACCAGCUUGAGCAAAAGUGGUAGCUUCCUUGAUGAGGAAGAGAGAUGGCAACCCAAAUAAUCCUCCUUUCUUCACCCAAUGAGCCUCUAUCUCAGACUUCUUCAAGUGAAGAGCUUCAGCAAUAAUACUAGACUGGGGAAUCUCCUCCAAUCCACUAAAAGGCACUCUACUAGAAACAUGUAUCCCCAAAAGAUGAGAAUACUCCUCCAACGUAGGCACAAGCUAAAAAUCUAGGAAAGUGAAACAAUGGUAGAGAGGAUCAUAGAACUGCACCAACACACUCAAAAGUCCUUCAACCACAUCAGCAGACAAGAUGAAUAGAAGCUUCCCAUGACGUUGUUUGAAGUCCAAGGGAUAUAAUACAAAAGAUGCUAGCUUCCUUAACUCUUUCAAGUCGGAACAUCUGAAACUGUAUUUCUUAGUGUUCAUUCGUCCAUAAUCCAUGGUCUGAAAAUAUUUGUAAAUGAUACCUUAGUUCCUUGUAAUUUUCGUAUGAUGAAUGUUAUGAUGCGCAUGCAUGCAUGAAUGCAACAAUAACAAAUAAGAGAUCACACACAAGGCAAACAAAGGUCAAGGGAUGAAUCAAGUCAUUGUCAAGAUCAAUCAUCCAUUUUGGUGGAUUAUGGUUUUCAGCUUAUCAACACCCAAAAUCCAUUGAUAUUAAAAAGACUUGAUUGGAUCAACCAAGAAUCAAGGGUUUGUUGCAAGUCACGAGCAUGGAGUCUGGGUAAGAACCAUCCCAAAGGAGUGAACUAAGGAUAAAAACCUGCAGAUCAUGUUCUAAAAAGUUCCCAGAGUCUUAAUUCCAUCUAUCGGAUAUUACAGGUUAAGAUGAUUGACUCGUCGACCCAUAAUAUUCUCAAGAGAAACUCGUCUGAGUGUAAUAUCGCGUAACAACUGUUAUUAAGUCUACACCUGAACAGUUUCCGCACUACGUCCUAAAUAGGCCAAGAGGGGUUAAAUGUUCUAAGGUCCCCAGCUUCUCAGACCCAAUUAGAAAUAGUAAUGCCUAACUACAAAUACUUGUGUGACAUUUCCAAAUCCAAAGGAGUCUCCACUGAGCAGUGGAUCUCAAGCCAACUUGUUAAGGACUACUCCACACAAGUCGAACAUGACUAUACCAUCCUCCUAUCUUAAUUGUACUCAAGUUCGGGUUAGAACUUAUCUCACCACUCAGAGAUCACCAAGCACAACAAGAAGAUUAUAUCACACAUACAUAUAUACAAACAUCACAUAUAUACAAAUAUAUUCACACAAAAAGUAGGCUAAACCCACUAGAGACUACUCCCCAGCAGAGUCGCCACUUAAUUUCUGUAGCGGGAAAUUCAUGAUCAUCAAGCUAUUGACAAGCUAGAGAUCAAUUAACAAGAGUCGCCACCGCGCUUUUAUUGUUUCCAAGGGAAAAGGGAAAAAGUACGAACAAAACCCAAAAAGUAAGAAGUUUUCAAAUAAAAACUAAUAAAAAAGUCAGAGAUCACAGGUAAGGGGGUUGGUUACAUAGAGGUAAGGUGUUAGCACCCAAAGUGUCCUAGGUACUCCUAGGGAGCCCUUUUUGUGUGCAUAUGUAUUUUGUACAAAGUGAUGUUUACAAACAAAUAGAAUUGGGGGAUGAGAAAAGAAUUCAUUAAUUAUAUGUUUGUGUUUGGCAAGACCUUCAGUCUUGUGCCUACGUACCAACAUAAAAAUGAGGGAUCAAAACCUCGUAGUUCAUGCUAUAAAUUUCAAAAUGAGUGUGUUGUGUUUUUUUUAGCAAAAUUAGGUUUGAAAGGCACAAAGGCCUAAAAUGUUUUUGAAUUGGUUAGUUCCUUUUUGUCCUUUUGAAAGUUUAAGACAUGUAUAGUUAAGUUUAUUCACAAGUUUGAUUUAAGAAAAGAAGUUUGAAAAUGCAAUGGCAUAAGGCCAAAGUUUCUAUCUAUUUGCAAAAGUGGUCAAAGUUUAGAACAAAAGUAGUUCACACAAAGAAGGUUUUGAAAAUGGAGGGAGAGAUUUUGAAAUUAAAUAAAUGGGGAGAAGAUGAAGAGACUAUCCUAUGUACAAAAUUUAAAAGUUUAAAGUUGAAAAGAUCUGACCAAAUGGGUAGUAGUCCAGUAGACAAGUAUGUCAAUAGAAAACCAGAAUUCCCUUGGACCUUUUAAAAUCAAGCAACACACAAAUGCACAAUUAUAUCAAUCUUGAAGAGUAAAGGCAUCAAAUAAAGAUGGCCUCAUCCAAGCUUAUCCACUUCAAUGAUCUUCUUCAAAAUAGCCCAUGCAACAGAUGGAUUCGACAAGUCAUAGGUUCAACAUAACAGCUUCACAAAAGAUCAAUGUGGGAGAUGAAUCUUAGAGAUCUUGAAUGAUGUAUUAGAUGAAUUCAAAUUGCAAGCACUUGGUUCUUCACAAAUUGGCAUUGGCCAAGUCCAUUUAGCAAAGGGAUGUUGCCUAAGUUCUAAGUCCAAUUGGUCCACAGAUCAAGCCAACAGUCCACUCAAAAGUCUUUUAGGGUUUUUGUUCUUAUUAGGUGCAUUAAUGGUCAAAGACCACACAACAAGCAAAGUAUACACAAACAAAAUAUAUCACACAAAAUGGUCCAAGUGGACAAAGUUAAAAUUGCAUUAAUAUAAACAAUUAGAAUGAUAUGUAUAAUGGCAAAUGAUAUAAAGUGCUAAAAGUAAAUAACAUUAAAGUCAAAGCUUGAAAGUAAAAGUUAAUAGUUAGAAAGUUAGUAGUUAGUUUUGUUUUGCUUUUGGUUUCAAGACAUUCUUUGGAGAACACUCAACCCACUUGCCACAAGCAUGGAUUCUUGAACCAAAACAUCUUCCAAAGGAAGGAAAGAAGGCCAAGUUUCCACACAAUACCAUGGAGGAGGGGAGACUUACAAUCUCACUACCUAGAAUGCUUAUGCCUUUGUGUCAAAAUUUAGCGCUAUGUUAAGCAAUCGUAAUUGGACUUAUGUAGAAGUCACAACUAUUUGAGGCCGGGCAAUAAACUUUUGGUGUUAAUGCAUGUUGGAGACAUAGUAUUAUGAACUAUACUCAUUAAACAUACCACACACAAAAAUAUGCAAAAGGUGUGACCUAAUCUAAUCCAUACUCAUGUUAAUCUUUCAAUCAACUAGCAUUAGGACCUUUGAGAUGUCAUUGGCCAAUUGGAAAUGAAUGAAUGAAGAAGGAGAAUUAGAUGAAGGGGAAGGAGAUGAAUGAGAUCACAAAUUGGUCAAAGGAGGACUUUUACCAAAUUAAUAUCAUUCAUUCAUUUUGGGAGAUGGAAUGUACAUUCCAUCAAUCCCCUAAAUUCAAUGAUAUUAAUUUGACAAAGUCAAAUCAACCUUACAAAGGAGGACUUUUACCAAAUUAAUAUCAUUCAUUCAUUUUGGGAGAUGGAAUGUACAUUCCAUCAAUCCCCUAAAUUCAAUGAUAUUAAUUUGACAAAGUCAAAUCAACCUUGACCAAGGCCCAAUAACAAACAAUUAAACUCAAUUAAGUCAAUACAAAUGGUCAACAUAAUUAAAAUGGCAUUUAUUCAAUUCAAAAUAUUAAAAUAAUGCAUUAAAUUCAAAUAUGUUUUGUCCAAAUCCUCAAAUAUAAUCAAAAACACCAAAGAAAUGGCCAUGAGAUGUAUCAUAGAUCAAACAAGGUAAAAGGACCUAGGAGAAAAAAUUUCAGAAUUUUUGGACACUUAAAAAUAUUUUUAAACAAUUAAAAACAAAUUCAAAAUCAAUUAAUUCAUGAAAAAUAUUAAUAAUAAUCCAAAAAAUAAUUUUGAUUCAGAAUAUGAAAUAGAAAAAUAUUUGGAAAUUUUUGGUGAAAGUCCCAUAUUUUUUGGAUCAAUAUUGAAUUUAAUAUGAAUUAUUGAAUAAAAUGCAAUUAUAAUAAAAUUCAGAAAAUGCUAAAUUACGUGGACCAUCAGAUCUCCCUCAUUAAUUGAGGUGGUAAAUAUGAUGAUCCAAAACGCGCGUUCCACCAAGACCUGAAUCAACCGCGUGGCAAAAGGAGUAAUCACAAGGAACGAUCCAAAUUAGAACAUGAGACUUGGAUCAAGCAGUUCAGAGACAAGACACAUCAUCACCGGAGUCAGAGCUCCGGUUGUCUUCUCCGGUGAGCUUCACCGGACUGGUCAACAUGAACCAUCACCAAAAUAACAAACAUGGACAUGAUCUUAAAGAAAAAACAUCACUGAGCACGAAUAUGACCUCCAAUUCCUCCAAUUCCAAUUAUAUUAAGAGAUAUGUGGAAUUGAAAAAUGAGGUACAUGAUCUGAGUUGCUUCGAUUUAGCCUCAAAGAAACUCAAUCUUCUUGCCUACAUUGGUAGGACUUCAGAUGAACAAAGAAUCAAUGGAAUUGAGCAACAAUUUGAGAGAAUCAAAGAGUUUAAAAUUUCUACAAAUUACCUUAAAUGGAGGUUUGACCACGAUGGAUCUUGAUCUGAAUUGUGCUUGGCUUCACUUCAAUUGCUUGCAGGAGAGGAAUGAAAAGGUUUAGAAGCAAUGGACUCCUGGAGAAUUGAAUUCCAAAAUAGUGGAGAUUCAAGCUCAAAUUCAAAUGAAUUUAUCAGGAUGAGAGUGAAGGGUUUUCAAUGGAGAUUCAAAGCUGGCGCAAUAUGUGUGUGAUUUCUGAGCAAAUGCAGUUGUAUUUAUAGCCAAAUCCGUGUGAUAUUUUCACACUCUUUUCAAUCUUCCAAAUUUGGCAAAUGAUGAUAGCAUGGUGCAUGGGCGCGCAUAGGCCCAUGAACUGAUGGCUUGACGUCCAAAAUGAAUGAUCAGAUAUGUUGGAGCUAGUUUAUAAUGCAAGGAAAUUGAACAUUGUUGUUUGAAGUUUGAUCAAUGUCAAAUGAUGUCAGCCUAUUGAAGCCAUGCGCAACCUAUGCAUUUCUCAUCCAAAAUGAAUGAAUUUGAGCUCUUUGGAAAGGUGAGAUCAAGAGGAACAAGUUUGAUGUUGAACACUUUUAUAUUUGGAGUUUGGAACUUGGAGAAAUUUGAGGUGGAAGUUUGGGAAAAUUUGACAUAUCAAAAUUUUUCUAAGUGUCAAGCCAUAUGUCUUAAUAUUCCAUGUUGCUUAACUUUUUAUAGGAGCUUCAAAUGAGAAAAGUGUAUUCAUAAAAGUUGUAUCUCUCUUAAAGACCUUCAAAAUGGUCACCAAUUUCAUGUCAUUUGGAUUUGAAAUGAUAGUGUUAUGCAUUUUUGAAGUUUGGAAAAGUCACUUGAUCAAUGGUAUAGGUCAAAAGUGACCUAUAAUGUAGCCUCAUAUCACAUGCUCAAAAAGUUGAAAUAGACACAUUGAAUUUGAUUGUGCAACUUUUAAAUCUUUCAUAUCAUAAAAAUUGAGCAAGUUAUGGCCUUGGGAAGUCGACUUUCAAAUUAGGGUUUAGACAAAAUGACCUAUAAUGUUUCAACAUAGAAAAUGAUUUUCCAAGAAAAACUAGCUCUAGGUCUCAACAUGAAAGUUGUUUAGAAUGUCAUUUAGAGUAAGGUUUCUCUUGUAAUUAUUUUCAUAUGAUGCAAAUUGUAGGAGAUAGGGUCUAGGGAGACCCAGUUUUGAUCAGAUGAAUUCAUCUGGCCAACCACCAUCAACCAACUUGCUAAUUUCCAAUUCUCUUGAAUUUCUUGGCUCAUGGUAGAUAAUAUAUGCAUAAGAUGAUGAAUUUUCAAGUGUCCCUUGAGAAAUUUGAUCAAUUGGUGAGAUAGCUUGUUGGAGAAGUUACUCAAGAUACCCAGUCAAACUAGGGUUUCCAAGGCAAAUCACCCUCAAACUCUUGAAGCAAACUUGAUCAAUAAGAAGUUACUCAAGAUACCCAGUCAAACUAGGGUUUCCAAGGCAAAUCACCCUCAAACUCUUGAAGCAAACUUGAUCAAUAUAACAUGUAGAGAUCAUUGGGGCUCAUAUAUGAUGUUCAUAACCAUUAUUGAAUCAAUUCUUGGUUGUGCUCUUUGUUCAUGAGGGUGUUAAAUCCUAGAUGUGAUCUUGAUGAAUCAAUGAGAUCAUGCCCUACCUACAAAAAGAGUUAGAUAGAUGUAAAGACAUAUUUUUGCUAUUUUAGUUAAUGAAAUGAUAUAAUAUAAGUAUGAUAUAAUCACAAAAUGCUUGGUGAUCUCUCCCAAAGCAAACCCAAUGAAAGAAGGGUAAUGAGAGUGCCAAGGUAUGAUCCCAAUGCUAAUGCUUAUGAUAAAAUUGCAUGAGGGGCCUUAGGGUCAAAAUUGGGGUCUUACACCAUGCAUGGAAUGUUGCAUGAGAUGCAUGCAAUUGCUGGGGAUUUUUGGACAUGCCUGUAGGAAUGUGACUGAUUUUGUUGAUCAUUGAUGAGGCUUCCCAUUUUGGUGGGAAUUCUAUGCGUAAGUAUGCUGAUGAUUGAUAUGAUUAUUGUUUUGAUAAGGGUUCUAUGCAUGUAUAAGGUGCAUAACAACUUCAAUUUUGAUGUAAACUCAUAUUUUGGUGGGAGAGUUAUGCUUGUUUGUGCAUAUGAAAGUCCAAAUGAUGAUAGGGUAACCCCCCCCCUUUAUAGGCGAGAGUUCUUUCAGUGUCCUAGCUAAUGGGAUUUGAGUUUAUGAAGAUGCCAACAGUGUACUUUUGUUAUUAGGGAGACCAAUUGAAAUUGGACUUCAGGUUUUUGUAAUUGGACAUAAUUUGGGCAUUUGGCUAUUGAGAGGGUUCUGACUUCUCAACCCUUGAUAUUUUAACAAUGCAACACUCAAUUAUGAAUGCCCAUGUUGACCUUUAUUAUAGAUUUGUCGAUGAGAGGCUGCACAUGAGUACAUUCCUGAGGGAAUUUGAGUUGUUUAUUAUGAAAGCAACCAUGACGGUCUGCAAAUGAUUUGAUGUCUUUAUGCGACGAGAACAAUCUUGGGGAUUGUGAGUCUCCCCUUUUGAUAUCUAAAAAUUAAUUUUAUUGUUCAGUUCAAAUGUUUUUUCGUUAUUAUCCAAAAUCUUAAAACAAUGUUUAUAAAAAAUAAAGACAUUUUGCAAACAAGCAAAUAAAGUAAAAAUAAUUAGGCAUAAUUUUGACGAGAAAACUUCUCUUUUUAUUAAUUUCACCCAUGAAUGGGAAAUUGUACAUAAAGAUUCAAUUACUUAAUGAGGUAAUUAUUGUGGAAGAAAAAUAUAAUGGCAAUGAACAUUGAGUUUCCAUUAUGUUUCAAUACUACUAUAAUAUUUAUGUCUCUGAGGACCCAAACACCUUGUUUCUGAAGAAGUUGGAUGGAUUGAUUCUUCUCUUUUAGAGACCUCCAUGGAUAGGAUAGAUUCACGGGUUGCAGUCUUUGCCUUGGAAUUAAUCCAUAACUUUUGCCUAGAUCGCCCUCUCGGUUUUCAAUCCAUUAGGAUACCCUUUUUUGCCUGAGCCGCCCUUUUAGGUUUUCAACUCAGCGGGUCAAUUCUUUUAUUUUUAACCUUAAUUUUUGCCUGGGCCGCCCUUUCGGAUAUUCGAUCCACCGGGAUAUCCAUUUUUGCCUAAGCUGCCCUUUCAUGUUUUUGACUUAGCGACUUUUAUUGUUCCAUUUUUAUAGGCAAAGUACUUUUUGACUGAAUUAGCAUUUGUGGGAAGUGGAAAUUCAUCACCGUCCGUAGUUGCAAGGAUUAGAGCGCCUCUGGAAAAUCCUAGAAUCUUUAUGAAUUGACAGGAUUUUCUUCAGCACCAGGUCGCCUUCUUGGAACACUCGAGGCUGAACCUUCUUGCCAAAUGCUUUCUUAAGACGCCUCUGAUAGAGUUGACCAUGAUAUAAUGCUUUUAAGCGCUUAUAUUCAAUAAGAUUGAGUUCAUUAAAUCUUGCUUGAACCCAUUAUGCCUCGUCUAAAUUAGCCUCCAUCAAGACUCUCAUCGAGGGGAUUUCAAAUUUCUAUAGGAAUGACUGCUUCCAUGCCAUAAACCAAGGAAAAUGGGGUUUCCCCCGUCGAAGUACGCACCGACGUAUGAUAGCCAUGCAACACGAAAGGUAGCAUUUCAUGCCAAUCCUUGUAUUUGACCACUAUAUUUUGAAUGAUCUUCUUAAUAUUUUUGUUUCCUUCUUCAACAACUCCAUUCAUCUUAGGCCGGUAUGGUGACGAGUUAUGGUGUUUGAUUUUGAAUGUUGCACAUAACUCCUCUAUUGUCUUCUUGCUGAGGUUAGACUUAUUAUUAGUGAUGAUUUUGUUGGGAACCCUGUAUCGGCAUAUGAUGUUGUUCUUCAAGAAGCGGGUAAUGACUUGCUUGGUGACGUUGGCAUAAGACACGACUUCGAUCCAUUUUGUGAAAUAGUCUAUGGAAACCAAUAUAAACCUAUGUUUGUUAGAUGAUUUUGGUUCAAUCAUCCCAAUCAUGUCAAUCACCCAUAUAUAUAAAGUCCAUGGUGAUGCUAUGACAUUUAGAGGGGUAGGUGGUACGUGCACCUUGUCAGCAUAUAUCUGACACCUGUAGCACAAUCUGGCAUAAUGAUAACAGUCAACUUCCAUCGUUAGCCAGUAGUAACCUGCCCUUAGGAUUUUCUUUUCCAUCACGUGUACACUUGCAUUAGUUUCGAAGGAUCCUUCAUGUAUAUCUUUCAUGAGUUGAUUGACUUCAUGUUUGUCCACACAUCUGAGCAGAACCAUGUCAUAAUUCCUUUUAUAUAACACAUCUCCAUUCAGGAAGAACUUUGAUGCCAAGCUCCAGAUUGUCCUCUUGUUAAAGCUAGAAGCAUCUACUAGAUAUUAUUGUUUCUCAAGAUAGCGUUUAAUAUAAAAAACCAAGGUUUGUAAUCUGAUUCUUCUGCUGUUGUCAAAUAAUGAGCAGGUUCGUCAAAACACCCGAUUUCAAUAUUAGGCUAAUUGUUAGGCCAUAUCGACUUGUACAUGGAUUCUAGAGUUUCCAGAGCGCCUUCCAUCUAAUUCUCUUCUCGAGGAAUAUGGGUAAAAGUGAUUUUAUCAAAUUUUAGGAGCAACUUCAACAUAUAAUCCCGGUAAGGAAUUAGAUUAGCAUGUCCCAUUUCCUAAUCUCCUUUGAAUCAGAUGUAUCACUAGAAAGGAGUCACCAUAUACUUCAAAGAUGUUAAUCCUUAAAUCAAUAGCCUCCUCUAGUCCCAGUAUGCAAGCUUCAAACUCAGCCAUGUUGUUUGUACAUGUGAAGAAAAGCUUUGUUGUGAAUGGUAGAUGAAAAUUCUAGGGAGACAUGAAUACUUCCCCAACUCCAUGACCUAUAGCAUUUGAAAUACCAACAAACAUAAAAGUCCAUUGCUCCCCUGGUUCGGGUCUUUCGCCGGUUCCAUGGGUUUCAUAAUCUUUGACAACCAUAAUAUCCUCGUAUGGGAAAUCAAACUUCAAAGGUUGGUAAUCCUCCAUUGGUUGAUGAGAAAGAUGGUAUGUCAUUACACUACCUUUGACGGACUUCUGUGCGACAUAAAGGAUGUUGUAUUUUGACAAUAACAUCUGCCAUCGGGAAUUUCUGCCAAUGAGGGCUGGUUUUUCAAAUAUGUACUUGAUGGGAUCCAUCUUAGAGAUUCACCAAGUCAUGUGAGUCAGCAUGUAUUUCCUGAGACGUCUAGCAGCCCAUGCAAGUGCACAAUAAGUCUUUCCGAGCAAUGAGUAUCUGGUUUCACAGUCGUUAAAUUUCCUGCUCAAAUGAUAAAUGGCGUGCUCUUUCUUGCCAGUUUCAUCUUGUUGUCCUAACACAAGCCAAACUCAUCGAGUAUUGUUAAGUACAUGAUGAGAGGCCUUCCCUGGACAUGACGCAUCAAAAUUGGUGGUUCUUGUAAAUAUUCUUUGACCCUAUCGAAAUCUUCUUGGCAAUCAUCACUCCUCUCAAUCUCUUGAUCUUUUCAUAGAAGCUUGAAUAUUAGUUUACAGGUGGCAGUGAGAUGUGAAAUGAAUUUGGCGAUGUAGUUUAACCUCCCCAAUAUUCCACAAAUCUCUUUCUCAAUCUUUAGUGCAAGCAUGUUCUGAAUAGACAUGACCUUGUUAGGAUCCACCUCAAUUCCUUUUCGACUUACAAUAAAGCCCCCCAAAGCUUCCCGAAUCGAAUCCCAAAUAUACAUUUAUUAGGGGUUAAGCCUUAGCCUAAACUUCCUCAGUCGAGCAAACAAAUUUUGCAAAUUGAUAAUGUGUUUCUCUUCAGUUUGGGAUUUGGCAAUCAUAUCACCAACAUAUACUUCGAUCACUUUUGAAUCAUGUCAUGAAACAGAGUCACCAUUGCGCGUUGUUAUGUUGGCCCAACAUUCUUUAAUCCAAAAGGCAUCACCUUAUAAUAGAAAGUCCCAUAAGGGGUGACAGAUGUAGUUUUCUCCAUGUCCUCUGGAUCCAUUUUAAUCUGGUUAUACCUAGAGAAACCAUCCAUGAAAGAAAAUGCUAAGAACUGUGUGGUGUUAUCCACUAAUACAUCAAUGUGAGGUCAUGGAAAAUCGUCUUUUGAACUAGCUCUAUCCAGAUCUCGAUAGUCAAUACACAUAUAAACUUUUCCAUCUUUCUUUUGUACCAGCACAAUGUUAGCAACCCAUUAUGGGUACUUGGAAACCUCUAAGAAACCGACAUCGAACUGCUUUCUCACUUAUUCUCUGAUCUUGAGAGUCAUGUCUGGGCGAGUUCUUCUUAACUUCUGUUUGACGGCAAGACAUUCUUCCUUGAGUGGCAGCUUGUGCAUGACAAUAUCAAUAUCCAACCCAUGCAUAUCCUGAUAUGUCCAAGCAAAUACAUCGACAUACUCACGAAGGAUCUCUAUCAGUCUUGUCUUUACAGCAUCUUGGAAAGCGGCGCCUAUCUUCACUUCUUUCUUGUCCUCCUCUAUUCCAAGGUUGAUAACUCCGACGUGCUCCUGGUGUGGUUGAGUGACUUUCUCUUCCCGCUCGAUCAAUCUUGCCAACUCUUCAGGGAGUUCAUAAUCUUCCUCGCCUUCAUCUUCGGCUUGGUUAAUUAGACAAUCAAAGUCAUACAAGACAAUAGCAAUAUCAUUAUCAAUGGUCUCGAUGGUGUUUCUGCAUCUUAUGAUUUAUGCAAUUUAUUUAGAAAGUGUGUGCGUAAACAUUAUUUCCACUUUAUUGUAUAUAGAAGUGCGAAAGAAAAAGAAUAAAAUUUGAAUGCAAAUUGCCACUUUAUUAAUGAUAAUCAAAGUUCUGAAAAUAAGGAGGCCCUAUAACAUGCCACCGUGCCUUGGGCAAAGCACAUGGUUUUGAUUAAAAUAGUAAAAUUACUUUUGAAAGAUUUGAGGGAUCUCCACAGUCUUCCAAUUCUUCAGUUCUUUACCGGGCAUCACCUGACGUAUCCAAUUGGAUACCACUUCAAUGUAGGCUUCAUCUUCGAUCAUUGUAAUAUGAUUACCAAAGAUAUGGUCAUCACUAGUGAACGUCUCUUACACAAAAGUAAUUUGCUUCUUGUCAAGCUGAUUAUUUUCUUUAUUAGAGGAUGGCUCAUACCCCAACCUAAAAUUAUCCCACUUCUCACGUAUCUCUAUCAACUUUCCCCAACCUUGGGCGUUCCCAGCCUCUAUAACAACCUUAUCUCCUUACCAAGAGGCCAUUGACAACUUAGGCUUUGGUGGUUCAGAUAUCUGUUGGACUGUCAACACAUUCACCACUUCAAAGGAUUGGAAAGGUGUUCUAGCAAUUUCACCCUCCACAUCAAUAUACCUGAAAGAUGUCAAGUGGUUGACCAAGAUGUUCUCUUCUCCUCCAAUUACGACCAUCUUGUCAUCCGUAAUGAACUUCAAUUUUUGAUAUAGGGUAGAGGUUACUAAGCCCGUAACAUGGAUCCAUGGUCUUCCAAGUAAACAACUAUACCUAGGAUGUAUAUCCAUGACUUGGAAUAUAAUAGUGAAGAUGGUUGGGACAAUUUUGAUUGGCAAGUCAACCUCCCAUAUCACUGCUCGUCUUGAGCCAUCAAAAGCCUUCAUUAUCAGAGUGCUAGGCUUCAUAUCUAUUCCUUCUAAAGGUAACUUUACCAAAGUAGUUUUUGGGAUAACGUUCAAGGAGGAACCCAUAUCCACUAAAACUCUUAAUAACAUGGUAUCUACACAUCUUAGGGAGAUAUGUAAAGCUUUGUUGUGGCUUUUCCCCUCGAAAGGCAAUUCAUGAUCAUCAAAUACCAGGAAGUUACCAGUGGUUACACAAGCUAUCACAUCAUCAAACUAUUCUACCGUGAUAUCUUUUGUAAUGUGAGCAACACUUAAAACCCUCAUUAACGAAUCCAUAUGCGCCUCAGAGCUGAGUAACCAAGAUAACAUGGAUAUCUUUGAAGGAGUUUGAUUCAGUUGAUCAACUACCUUGUAGUCACUCUUCUUGAUUAUUCUCAAGAAUUCUUCAGCUUCUUCUUGAGUACUUGCAACAUUAGGAGACAGAUGCACUUCUUGAAAUUUAGUGCUUGGAGUAGGUAUUUGAACAUCUCUGGCCACUUUCUUCCCCUUGGCCUUAGCAGAUGUAUUUGCAGUUCCUGGGGUAAAUACUCGGCCACUGUGUGUCAUCCCACCUAGCCCUACAAUGGAGGUUACAUUUCGACCAUUAAUAACCAAAGGUUAGUCCUCUCGCCCCUUCUUAAAAGCUCUGGGUUGAUAUAUCCACGACACAACUUUUUCAUCUUGGUAGGAGAAAGUUGAGGGAAACUCUAUCACCAAAGUGGUGAUGGGGAUUUUCACAUUAACCACAUCAUAAGGAAUGUCAAUUACCGCCACCUCUUUUUCUUUCUUAUCUUCCUUAUAACGCUCGAUUUCCAUUGUACCAUGAUUUAACAUUUGCUGAAUGGAACCCUUUAACUCUUCAAUGUUAUCUUCAUCAACAAGGUUUACUGGGAUCAAACCACUCUUCAGCAAUUGUGCCCCUAUCAUAGCAAUAGGGGUUUUAAUUUCUUCCACCUUCUUGACCAAAUCCUGUUUACAAACUUCCUCUAUGAAACUGACUGAUGCUCCCCCGUAAGCAAUAGGGUUAGUCUUGACAUUUGGACCUAUUGGAGAGAAAGUGACAGCCUUAGCCUCAACCAGAUCUUACACGCAAUUCUGAAAAGCAUAAUAAUUCUCUAUUGUAUGCCCAGGUGCACCCAUAUGAAAUUCACAAUGGGCAUUAACAUCAUACCAAAGAUGAUAAGGGAAUGUCUUUGCCCUUAACUCCCUUAAAGUUAAUAGUCCUUAUUUCUGUAAGUAUAAAAAUAUUUAGCUGUAAGGCACUGACAAAGGAUCAAACUGCCUUCAUGGUGGUCUUGGUUUGAACUGCCAUUGUUGAGGGGUGUUCUAUUGUUGUUUUUUUUGUUGUUGUUGUUCAUAAACCUGUUGUUGUUGUAUUGGUUGCUGGUAUGGUAUAGGUACCAUAGUAGCGACUUGGUCAUAAGGGAUUUGUUUCUUACCCUUAUACCCCCUUGAGAUGGCGUUCAUAUCACCUUCCUUUUUCUUCUGGAAUCCUCCAAAAUACUUCUUCAAUGCGUUGGAUGCUCCAACAAUGCCUUGAUUUUUACCAUCCUUCAAGCCCUUCUCAAUUAGAUCUCCAAUGGUUACUAAGUGAGCAAAGUACGAUUCCGCGCUUCUCACCGACCUGUCAAAGAAAGGGGUUUUCAAGGUGUCUACAAAUAUUCCAUUCAUUUCCUUCUCGGACAAUAGAUGUUCCACUUGAGCUUCCAGCUAUCUUCAUCUCUGAGCAUAUUCUUUGAAUGACUCUCUUUCAUUUAUAGUCAUACCCUAUAACUGCAUACGAUCAGGUGCCAUAUCGAGAUUGUAUUUGUAUUGGCGGAGGAAAGCGUCAGCCAAGUCUUCCUAACUCCGAAUUCGCCCUUAUUCCAAGCUCAUGUACCAUCUUAGAGAUGCCCCACUUAAACUGUCUUGAAAACAGUGUAUAAGUAGCUUAUCAUUUUCAUUAUGUGCAACCAUUUUCCUAAAAUACAUCACCAAGUGACUUCUUGGGCAAGUCUGGACUUUGUACUUUUUGAAAUCAGGGGCUUUAAAUUUAGUCGGGAUGACCAAAUUCGAAACCAAUCGCAUGCUCACGGCUGCCGAGCCAAAGAUGUUGUUACCCUUUAUAUCCUUUACUUUCUUCUCCAAAGCACAAAGUCUUUCUGCAGCAGGGUCUGAAAGAACUUUUGGUUUUGGUGGACCAGGUAUGUAAAAAGCGUCAUAUUGGUCAUCUUCUGUAACCUCAAACCCAUGUUGAGCAGAUGCAUCAGAAAGCUUUAUGUGGUCCUCAUUUCCCAUUGGUAUAUGAACAUGAAUUCCCUUAACAUGGGCAAAACUGUUAUCUUGAUUAACCAAGCCUGAGGUUCCCACCUGACUUGCAAUUCUAUUAGUUCCAGCCUCCAUUUCAACAACUCUCUCUCUAUGAGAAAUUGCCAAUAUAGUCUCAAGUAAUUUUUCCAUCUUCCCCUGGAUGGUAGUGAUAUUUGUCCUCAUGAUGUCCUGAUUGGCCUUAACUUGUUCCAAUCCUAUAGUUGUUGCGCGUCUCGUAUCAGUGUUGAUUAGUCAGCUUUACUAGACAAAGGGUAGAAGAUGGUGUAAGUUUUGGAUUUUGUGGUGAGUGAUGUAUAUGGGGAUGCAAAUCAUAUUUGUAUUUUAUUUUAAGGGAAUCGUUCGAAUUCAUUAGUUGUUUAAUUAUUCAUAGACGUAAGAAAUAUCAAAACAAGAUAAUAAUGAAGCAACUUUAAACAUCACUCAUUCAAGAAUAUUAUACAAAGGCCUAAAAGCCCAAAGUCAAAUACAUUCCAAACAAAGAAAAACAUAAAAACAAAAAUCAAAAUGCAUACUUCCUUGCUUGAAGUUCUUUUAACUCCUUCUGGAAUCUUCUCAAUAAUUCUCUACAAAGCAGGAUGAAACUGAUCACAACAGGAUGGGUGUUGUCUUCAUUCAAUUCUUCUAUUGCAUCCCUUAGUUUCCAUGGCAUGUCUUUAGCUACCCAGUUGUAGAUCUCUACCAACUGUCAUACCCUAAUUUUGUCCAGACAUUUUUAAAAUUUCCGUAAAGUUGAUUUCAUUUUUUAUUUGCAUCGUAUGCACAACAUGACAUGCAUUUCUUUGAUAUUGAUUAGGUUUUUAAAAUAAACAUAUUUUCUUUGAUAAUAAAACAAAAAUAAUAGUUUCAAAAAAUAAGUGAAUUUAAUAGCAUUGGAUUCCCUUUUGCAAACUGCCAUCUCACACGAGGUAUUGCAAAAAUUAUAUCUUUACCUUCCAUACAGAUAGGGACACGCGUCCUUUAUUCUCCAUUUCCAACGGUUACAAAAAAUGAAAAGAAACUUUCUCAUGAGCUGUCAAAAGGACACCUAUUUUUCCACUAAUUGGGGGACUCACCAACAGACUACUCUCUCUCUCUCUCACCUCCAAUGAACAAAAAACCAACUUUGAAAUAAAAGCUUUUUUCUCUUUAACUUUCGGCACCGCGGCCACCUACAGGACAACCAACACAACAUCACCGCCGUCACAACAUAUCAUCAUCGACCGCUUUUUCUUCUUCAUCCACUCACAAAAACCCACUUCUCAACCACCAAAUAAAUGUAACCCUCACUCUCUCACCUCCAAGCUCCAUCAUUUUUUCAACCCUCUUCAUCACCAGACCAUCCCCAAAUCGCAAAACUACCAUCCACUGUCAUACUCCCUCAACCGUUUAAACCCUUCCGCGAACUCCCUUCGUUUGCCGUCACAACACUACAACCACUCAUCACCGCAAAAACCCAAAUACACCGUCACCCACCUUUAACCACCAAUAACUGUCCGCCUCGCACUAUCCCCAACUCUGACCGCCAAAUCAACAACAACCACCCACCUCAGUUUCACCCUAAAGACCAUUCACCUCACACCUUCACAUCACUGAUGAAACCUUCGCACAAACACCUCCGGAAACUCGCCGCCGCGGUUUCCUUAACUUCAUCGGCCAACCUUUAUAAUACCUCCGUCCAAACCCUCACUCAUACCCCUAUGCCAUCAUACCCCCACAGCCAACACC